CAUCCCAGCACGAGCGUAACUGAACUCUAAACUAUCAGGGGUAUCCAUCACACCAAUACUGCGAUGAUACAAAUUUACAACGGCUCCUAGAGCUAAAUCAGGUAGUGUAAACAGGUGACAGGUCCAAAUCUCCGAUUUUCUCCUAAUUCAAUUUCCAAGUCCAACUUGUAUAGUUUAACUAGAUUCAGAAACAUGCUUCAAAUUCAGACUUCAGCCAAUAUGCUACUCAAUGAAUUUAAGCUAGUACAAAAUAUAAACAAUCGGAAACUAUACAUGUUUACUAAUCUCUACUUAGGAGUAAACCCGAUGAAAACCCACCUCAAAUGCUAACUCCUGGCAGCGAAGGAAGUCUCGAACCAAUAAUAAUCCCUGCUGGAUCAACUGAAAUCCUCCAAGUCCAAAAAUCGAGCUAUCUCCAAGCUCUACACAUCGAAAUCCAUCAAUUCUGUCCAAAUACAACAGCAGCAGAGUAAAAUAGGAGUUCGAUCAAGCUAACCUUCACCAAAUUCAGCAAUAUUGGGCUUUGUGGAUUCCUUUCGAAGUCCUGAAUCCAAUGAACCAAGUUUCGUCACAAUUCGACACUCCUACGUCGCGUACGAACCAAAACGCCAACGGUUGAUACUGGAAUUCAGUAAAAAUCAGCACGCGAGCUCGAAGUAGAGAGGUCAGGCCAUAAAUAGAGGAAUGUUAGAGACCCACCUCGACAGCGGCUCUAGCACCGGCGCGACGUCGAGAACGGCGAAAAUCCACCCUCGUCCGGCCUCUUCGUAGCACCACGACGACGAAUAUCCGCUCGAAUGGCACCGCGGCGCGACGUCGACGAUGUUCCAACGCCACCCACGCUCCUCCUUGCUCAUGAUCGGGUCUAGAGAGAGAAAGAGGAGAAGAAGCAUGCAAGAAGUCCUCCUCAGCUUCCCAACACGUACAUAAAGCAAAGGGGAGGGAUGGUGAUACGUACGAGGCAAGAAAAGACAAAUCUGCCCCUCACUUACCCCUGUGUACUGGUACAUGGGCACCUGUACCGGUACAGAUGGCAACCCGAGAGCAGCUGCUCGCCAAUCGGGCGAAGUGUACCGGUACACCUCGCUGUACCGGUACAGAAAGUGUACCGGUACAACCUUGAUGUUGUAUCGGUACAACAAGCAGAAAAUCUGCAAUUCCGCAGAUUCCAAUGCUAACUCCUGCUCUCGCGUCCCCGCUGAGUCCGUUUUGCGUCUAUUUCGCGCCAACGAGACUCGGACUUGUCCCGACACCCUCACGGCGUGUCGACAAGCCUCAAAAGCAGAACACCAGGGAUACUACACCCUCCCCUAUUACAAAAAGUUUCGUCCCCGAAACUUAAGCAUACCUCAGUUCUGGGCAACGAACAGAUAGGGGUAGGAUUCCCUCAUCACCGUCUCAGGCUCCCAAGUCGCCUCCCACUCUUCGUGAUUACUCCACUGCACCUUUACAUACGAAAUGACCCGGUUGCGCAAUUCUUUCGUCUCCCGAGCAAGAAUCCGCACCGGUCGCUCCUCGUAUCUCAGAUCCUCGCCAAUCUCUAAUGGAGUGAAGUCAAUCACGUGAGAAGGAUCAAAAACAUAUCUCCUCAAUGUCAAGACAUGGAAGAUAUCGUGGAUACCGGUCAGUCGGGGAGGUAGAGCAAUCCUAUAAGCAACUGGUUCAACUCGCUCCAAUACCUCAAAAGGGCGAACGAAACGUGGACUGAGCUUUCCACGCACUCCGAAUCUGCAAAUCCCUCUAGACGGCGAGACUUUGAGGAAAACAUGAUCUCCAACCUGGAACUCUAAGUCUCAUCUCCUGGUAUCGGCGUAGCUCCUCUGGCGGCUCUGGGCUGUCAAAAGGUGUCGUCGAACAACUCUCACCUUUUCCUCAGCCUCUAGCAAAAUCUCAGGCCCAAGCGUCUUCCUUUCAUCCACAUCACUCCAACACAAAGGGGAUCGACAUCUGCGUCCAUACAACGCCUCAAACGGAGCCAUCUGGAUGCUCGCUUGAUAGCUGUUGUUGUACGCAAACUCAGCCAGUCUCAAAUGUCGAUACCACCCUCCUCCAAAGUUCAGGACGCAUGCUCUCAGCUGUGCUGAUGCGAUGGAUGGUGCUGGUGAUGCUGCUCGAGGACAAGCUGAUCUCAUAUGCCCGGGCUGACUGCAAUGUAACACCUGCCCUCUCUCUGCUCGCACUGCCGGGGCCAGUGGGGUCCCCCGCGGAUCACACACUGCGGUGUCUUCGGUGAUUGCCCCUGCUGACGGGGUCCCCCAGAACGCUGACGCCCCGAAGACCCACGACCCUAAGAGCGCGAUCGUGGUGGUCUCGGCGGAUGCCUACCGCUCGACGGUCCUGCAUCAUCUGGAAAGGGACGCUUCUGGUCCCGACUCUGCCCCACUGCCUGAGUCCUCUCCUGCAGCGACACCUCACCUCUCUCUACCCAUAAGGCCUGCUCUAUGGACGCAUCCAGGGUCCUCAACCUCUGAGCCCGCACCAACCUGAAGACGUCGGGUCUCAGCCCCUGCUCAAACAGAUAAACCCUGUGAGCCUCGUCCCUGGCCACAAACAGCACAUAAUUCAGGAGUCGAGUAAACUCCCGAAUGUACUCCUGCACUGGCCGAUCCCCCUGCUGAAUCCUCUUCAAAUCCUCCUCGAGCUUCUGUUUCACACUGUUGGGAAAAUAUAUCCCAAACAGCAUUCUACAGAACUCAUCCCAUCUCAGCUGCAACGCUACCAGUCCCUGAUCUCGCCUCACUCUCCUCCACCAGGUGUGUGCAUCACCUGCCAAGCAAUGGACUCCCAAAGAUACCUGCUCCCCCUCAGGAAUAAACAGAUUCUCAAAUAGCUUCUCCAUUGCACUGACCCAUCCCUCAACAACUCAGGCCUCAGUGCCACUGCCAUCGAAUGUCGGCGGAUCAAAACGGCGAAAACGAGCCAGCCUCUCGGUCAUCCACUACUGCUCGGCCUAGGUCAACUGUCCUGGCCCUCUAGAAGGCGCAACCGGCGCUGCAGGAAUAUCCACUGGCGGCGGUACGGCUGCGGCUGGUGCGGCGGCUGAAGUAGUCGGAGGUGGACCAGCCGGCUCUGGUGCUCUCGGUACUGUACUCGGUGGCGGAGCUACCCUCUCGCACAACCUCUCCAAUAACUCUCCAAUCACUCUCUCCACUCUAGGAGGAGUUAGAACAAUGAAUCAUUGACUUUCGCGAUAAAUCACGCCUCUCGCGCCUUGCUUUCCUAAGGUUUGCCAACUUAGGGUUCCUAUGUCCCAACGACCUGCAGCUAAGCUCUGAUACCAACUUAAUCUGUCACGCUCCGGAUUACACGUUCCCUGGGCACGCCGACAAAUUCGCCGUAUACAAAGAAAUUUUCCCUAUAUACGAAGCGAUAGCUGUACCUGUAAAACAUACAAUACUACAAACAGUAGUAUAGAGCUGCCAGAAUAACCAGUAACUAAAAAUAAACUGAGUUUCAUAUACAUACGUCAAAUCCAAGAUACAAACUACUCGCACUGGUGAGUUAAACGUCUGUAUGUACAUGAACUCCAACCAGAAACAACUACCUGCUGUAGGGGCACCUCUAGCUCGGCUCGUCUGGUAGGACUCUAACUCGCGAUGCCCUUACCUCGAUCCUGAUCCGCGGAAGGCGCAGCAGCCGAAACCUGUGGCUCUGCAAAACAGGGGUAACAACUGGGCGUGAGAACUACUGUAAAAACAAAUAGUCCUUAGUGGGUGCCGCCCUUAACAUCAUCGGUCCAUCCAUUAAGUCUACAGAAGGGAACAAAGUGGAAUAAAAUCUACAGCUACAAGUUAUUACACUAUUAUGCUCUAAACUAACCUACUGUAGUGAUGUCAAUCCCGACCCAAUCUCUUUAGGGACUGUAAACAUAUCAGUCCCAGGGACUGUGAAUACACCCGUCCCUGCCCCGUUGCGACUAUCCAGCUACCCCCACACUAACCAGUUCGUGGAGAGCAAGUCCAACCGGCAUGAACGACACCAACGUGAAAGCACAGCACCCGUCUCCGGAGUGGCACUCGUGGGAGCUACCCAACCGAGUAUGCAGCGUAUCUCUAUCGAGCUAAAUCCGGAUCUCACAAGCCUAAGUCAAGUAACCGACUCUAACUGGUCUAAUAACCAACAGGUCAUGUGCCCUCGGCACAAUCCGACGCCAAAACGGUGAUAUGGGUCUGCCGUCAACCACUACGGCACCCAACAGUCCGGAACAAUCUGAACGCUACUGUAAAACUACGCUAGGCAUCCCAGCACGAGCAUAACUGAACUCUAAACUACCAGGGGUAUCCAUCACACCAAUACUACGAUGAUACAAAUUUACAACGGCUCCUAAAGGUAAAUCAGGUAGUGUAAACAGGUGACAGGUCCAAAUCGCCGGCUUUCUCCUAAUUCAAUUUUCAAGUCCAAAUUGUAUAGUUUAACUAGAUUCAGAAACAUGCUUCAAAUUCAGACUUCAGCCAAUAUGCUACUAAAUGAAUUUAAGCUAGUACAAAGUAUAAACAAUCGGAAACUAUACAUGUUUACUAAUCUCUACUUAGGAGUAAACCCGAUGAAAACCCACCUCAAAUGCUAACUCCUGGCAGCGAAGGAAGUCUCGAACCAAUAAUAAUCCCUGCUGGAUCAACUGAAAUCCUCCAAGUCCAAAAAUCGAGCUAUCUCCAAGCUCUACACAUCGAAAUCCAUCAAUUCUGUCCAAAUACAACAGCAGCAGAGUAAAAUAGGAGUUCGAUCAAGCUAACCUUCACCAAAUUCAGCAAUAUUGGGCUUUGUGGAUUCCUUUCGAAGUCCUGAAUCCAAUGAACCAAGUUUCGUCACAAUUCGACACUCCUACGUCGCGUACGAACCAAAACGCCAACGGUUGAUACUGGAAUUCAGUAAAAAUCAGCACGCGAGCUCGAAGUAGAGAGGUCAGGCCAUAAAUAGAGGAAUGUUAGAGACCCACCUCGACAGCGGCUCUAGCACCGGCGCGACGUCGAGAACGGCGAAAAUCCACCCUCGUCCGGCCUCUUCGUAGCACCACGACGACGAAUAUCCGCUCGAAUGGCACCGCGGCGCGACGUCGACGAUGUUCCAACGCCACCCACGCUCCUCCUUGCUCAUGAUCGGGUCUAGAGAGAGAAAGAGGAGAAGAAGCAUGCAAGAAGUCCUCCUCAGCUUCCCAACACGUACAUAAAGCAAAGAUGAGGGAUGGUGAUACGUACGAGGCAAGAAAAGACAAAUCUGCCCCUCACCUACCCCAGUGUACCGGUACACGAGCACCUGUACCGGUACAGAUGGCAACCCGAGAGCAGCUGUUCGCCAAUCGUGCGAAGUGUACCGGUACACCUCCGAUGCUGUACCGUACAGAAGGUGUACCGGUACAACCCUAAUGUUGUACCGGUACAACAAGCAGAAAAUCUGCAAUUUCAUAGAUUCCAAUGCUAACUCCUGCUCUCGCGUCCCCGCUGAGUCCGUUUUGCGUCUAUUUCGCGCCAACGAGACUCGGACUUGUCCCGACACCCUCACGGCGUGUCGACAAGCCUCAAAAGGCUGAACACCAGGGAUACUACACCCACCCCCACUACAAAAAGUUUCAACCUCGAAACUUAAGCGUACCUCAGCUUAGGGUAUCAAAUAGAUAGGGAUAGGACUCCCUCAUCACCGUCUCCGGCUCCCAAGUCUCCUCCCGCUCCUUGUGAUUACUCCACUACACCUUUACAUAUGGAAUGAUCCGAUUGUGCAAUUCUUUCGUCUCCCAAGCAAGAAUCCGCAACGGUCACUUCUCGUAUCUCAGAUCCUCGUCAAUCUCUAGUGGAGUGAAGUCGAUCACGUGAGAAGGAUCGAACACAUAACUCCUCAAUACCGAGAUGUGGAAAACAUCAUGGAUNCCUGCUCUCGCGUCCCCGCUGAGUCCGUUUUGCGUCUAUUUCGCGCCAACGAGACUCGGACUUGUCCCGACACCCUCACGGCGUGUCGACAAGCCUCAAAAGGUGCGGCGAGACAUCGAGAGUGGACGUGACGGCGAUUUUAGCGUGGACGCUGAGGGUGCACUUCUGUUUCAAAACCGUUGGUGCGUACCGGAAACGUGGAAGUCCGAAAGCUAAUUUUGCAAGAAGCGCAUCGGACUCUCUAUAGUGUUCACCCGGGCGGCACCAAGAUGUACCAUGAUUUGAAAAUGCAUUAUUGGUGGCCCGAAAUGAAAACCGAUAUCGGACGCUAUGUGGCGCAAUGCCUUACAUGUCAACAAGUCAAGGCGGAGCGCCGAUUUCCAGCAGGAAAGCUCCAAAACUUGCCUAUCCCUGUUUGGAAAUGGGAGGACAUAUCUAUGGACUUCGUGGUCGGAUUACCCCGGUCGGUGGGAGGCCACGAUGCUAUCUGGGUAGUUGUGGAUCGUUUAACCAAGUCGGCACAUUUCAUACCGAUCCGCACUACAUGGUAAGGUGAUAAGUUAGCGCAGGUGUACCUCGACGAGGUGGUGAGGUUGCACAGGGUUCCGAAGUCGAUCGUGUCGGAUCGAGACCCCCGAUUUACCUCGCACUUUUGAAAACGCCUGCAAGAAGCGCUCGACACACGCCUCGAUUUCAGCACCGCAUUCUAUCCUCAAACUGAUAGGCAAUCGGAGAGAACCAUUCAGAUCUUGGAGGAUAUGCUGCGGGCGUGUGUGAUCGACUAUAAAGGAAGUUGGCUCGAGUACUUACCGAAGGCCGAGUUCGCCUACAACAACAGUUAUCAAGCAAGUAUAGAGAUGGCACCAUUUGAGGCUCUCUACGGGCGGAAGUGUCGGUCUCCUAUACAUUGGAGUGAUGUGGGCGAGUGUGCGGCAUUGGGUCCCGACGUUUUGCGGGAGGCGGAGAAGAAAGUCCGCCUUGCCCGUCAGAGAUUGCUUACGGCGCAGUCAAGACAAAAGAGCUAUGCAAAAAAGCACCGUCGAGAUUUAGAAUUGGCAGUGGGUGACCGCGUCUUCUUGAAGGUUUCACCCAUGAAGGGUGUGAAGCGGUUUGGAGUUCGAGGAAAACUGAGUCCUCGUUAUAUUGGACCGUAUAAAGUGUUGGAACGUGUUGGAGCAGUAGCAUAUCAGCUUGCAUUACCGCCGAAGCUCGCGGAGGUUCAUAAUGUAUUCCACGUUUCUAACCUUCGCAAGUAUGUUCACGAUCCCGAGCAUGUGUUGUCAUAUGAACCACCGGAAUUGCAAGAAGAUAUGAGCUAUGAAGAGUUUCCGGUGAUGAUUAUUGCUCGAGAAGUGCGAAAAUUGAGAAAUUGCGAAAUCCCCUACGUCAAAGUUCGGUCUACUAGUCACAACAAUCGUGAAGCCACGUGGGAACUUGAGGAUGCAAUGAAAGUGCAACAACCUCAUCUCUUCGAAGAAUUGAGUUGGGUAUGAGUUUUGUUAAGUUGAGUAGUUUCGAGGACGAAACUCCUUUUAAGGAGAGGAGGAUGUAAGGAAGUGAAUUCUCGAAAUGCGAGAGUUGGACUUCGUUUAAAAUUGACCAAAGGUUGGUUGGGUAUGCCUCGGGGUGGCCUAAGAUGUCAACAAUGCAAAAAGUGCAUUGUGGUUGGUCUCGAGAGCAAGUUGUGCGAAUCUGCACAAAUUGCAAAUUUUGCUGUCGGGGACCGGUCCUUGGUGGGAGGGACCGGUCCCCGUAAGCAGAGAGUGCGGCAGAGAAGCUCUGCGCGCAAAUGUUGCUCUCGGGGACCGGUCCCUCUGGGGUGAGAUCGGUCCCCGUACGCGUGUAUGGCAGAGCAGAAGGCUUUGCGCGUGAAUGUGCUCUCCGGGACCGGUCCCUGGCGGGAGGGACCGGACCCUCGGGGAUCGGUCCCUGGCGGGGGGACCGGACCCCGUAAGCAUGGAAAGGGCUGAUGGCCAGCUCUGCACACAGUGCGCUCUCGAGGACCGGUCCUCGCAUGGAGGGACCGGUCCCCGCACCCGAAAACUGCUGAGUCUGGGCAGUGCAUAGAUAGAAAAGUGGGUGGGGUUUUUGGCUAUUGUUGCAUGAGAGGGGUUAAGUAAGCAUUUCCCCUUUCUUUUUCUCUCAUUUCCCUCCAACACACAUACACACUCACAUUCUCUCUCUCUCUCUAGAAGGAGAAGGAGAAGGAGAAGGAGAAGAAGGAGAAGAAGACCAAGGAGAGAAUCUCCAUUGCCAUUUCUUCCUUUGCUUGGGACAAAAGCUUGGUAGAGGUAAGCUUUUGAGCUCUCCCAUGGUGAAAUGCUAAGGAUGAGUUUAUAAACCCUAGAAAUGGAAUUUAUUGGAACUCCAGAUGUAGUUGAGCUCAUUUAUUGUAAGGUUGAAGGCUUGUAUGCCAUAUGUUGCAAUAAUGGGAUUUUAGGGCAUCCAAAAGAGGGGUUUUGUUUGUGAUGGGCUUUGAUGUCAAUUGAGCAUGUCUAAACCUAAUUGUUAGGUACUUUGACGUGUUGGCGAAGUCAGUUCGACAAUUCGUCGAGGCUACGAAGAAAUAUUGAUGAAAAACCCAUUUUUGGUUUUGUUUUCGCCUGGAACGCCGAGGAAGCAUCUAAAAAUCACGAAAUCGGAACCCUAGCCUCUUGGUAGCAUAAGAAGGUGGGGAGUGUCCAUCCCGAAGCAACCGAAUUUUCUUUUAUGUCUAAGUUCUAUAUGUUGACAAUAUUCAUAUAUUGACAUUGUACAUUAUAGGAUUAGUAGAUGAUUACACUCCAUUUCCUUGCUUGUUUCCUAUGUAGUGUAGCAUUGAGGGCUUGACACUUGAACUUAGGUUGCAUAAGGAUUGGGUCUUGUGACAUGAAUCCUAUAGUGACAAGAAUAAUGAUGAACUCGGACAUGUAAAUGGCCUAGAUGAGUGGAAUUGGAUUAGUGUAGUAGAAAUACUAAACAUAAACGAGUGGCAUAUCAACUAGUAGAAAACAUUUACUACAAUGAUUGAACGAGUGGCAUUGAAUCUAGUAGUGUAGUAAAACAUGACAUGAUUCUAGGAAUAGUAGAAUUCCCAGCAGUUGAAUUAUGCAUUAUGAACUGUGCAGCAGAGGCACUAUGACCCUGGUAGAUAGGGUAUCCUCUUGCGAUGAUUGGAUUAUACUCACUAGUCUGUUUUCGCUUGUCGGUGGUCGUUCCACAGAAGCAGUUGUUUCCGGAGUUCUUCACGAUAGGGGCAGACAUAGUUGUCCCGUAGACGGUCUCGGUGUGCGAGUGCAAAUUCUCCUCACCUAUGAGAUUGAGAGUGAGUCGAGGGCUUAACCUUCGGGUUAGCCAAGUAGAUUGGGUAAUGAACAUGAAUGGCAUAGUAGACUUGCAUUCAUACCUUAAGUAGACAUAGUGUAUGUUAAUAGAUUGCAUAACUAUGUUGCACAUAUGCUCAUAACAUUGUACUAGCAUGAUAGUAGACUUAUUGCAUGAUGAUUACAUUACUUAUCAUUGAAGGCAUGGUAGGAUAUAGUUGUUGUUCCAUUUCUACCUACCUAUCUAUCUAUCUAUCUGCUUAUACCUGCUUAGACCUAAUGGGAAGAUCGGCAGAGUCGGCGGCCGAACCCACUGGAAACUAUAUUUAUAUAGUUCUCACCCCACUUUGUUGCAGGGCCGAGCACGAGUUCGCCGAGCGAGGACCGCGACAAGGGCAUAGCGCCCUAGGUAGUUAGUAGCCUCCCAUAUGCAUUUAGAGUACCCUCGUGUACUAGACGAUGAUGAUGUAUAUUUUGGAUAGAUGUUGGAGAGCUACUUAUGUAUUGGAGAUGAACUUGUAGUACAUUUUGGGAGAUAUAAAUGUAAUUAAAAGUUGAAUGGUUAAAAUAGCUAGAAUAUCUCUCUUUAUUCACUUGUUGUAUACUUGUGGUUCUUGCUCUUACUUGUUAGCACUUGUGGUGCUCCUUGUUGAUCGUGUAUGUAAUGAAUUUCUUUUCCUGGGCAAAUUCUUAUACAUGAUCUUGUUGCUUAGCCUUCGGUGAACAGGGGAGGUGUUGUCCGUUCGGCGUCUGCUCGACGCCCCCGAACCGGACCAAAUUGGUAGCGGUGUCGGGGCGUGACAGAUGAGUUGGUAUCGAGCAAGUUAAGAGCAAGUAAAGAGAGAGUCUAGGACAGACCUAGGAGAACAUAGGUUGGCAACUCUAAGGCUAGGGGUGCGUGAGCGAGACGUGAACCUAAGCCGGGUGGCAGAAGUUGAUUUGAUUGGGUCGAUGUUGUAGCAUGUCUCUAGUGGUUAAUAGAGACGAAUUCAGGUGAUAUUAGUUCUUGACUUGAAGUGAUUGUGUUGGCGGCCGACAACACGAUGCUAAGAGUUUGGAACGAGUACACUUGGGUGUUUCCGUCUAACUUGUGGUGUCGAGUCGUUUGUCUCGUGACUGCGACGAGGUUACCGGUUAGGGUGACUAACCAAAUUGUUGCAUUUCAGGAGCUAAUGUCUCCAAGACGCUACACGCAUAGAUUCGUUCCGGCACCGUCUCCUGAGGUGCCCGAGCAAGCUGGGUCUAGCGAGAUGCAGGAGUUGCGGGCGCAAAUGACUACACUAGCCGGUGUGGUGCAGCGGCAGGAGAGUCGGUUCGAGCAGCUCCAGGGGCUUAUGGAGCGGCACAUAGCGGCAGCGGCUACAACGGCGACUGAAGGCCGUCACCCGCCCGCGCUCUCGGCUCGUGCGCCUACGGCGGCUGAGGGUGAGGGCAUUGCGGCAGUUUUGGUGGCGGCGCGUCCCCCGCCGGCGAGUGUUCCUCCGGCGGCGUCGGGUUCUACGACACUCGAUGCGGCGACCGAGGGAGUGAAGAGGGAGCGCGCACUUGCGGCCCUCGUAUUGUUCCGCAAGUUCGACCCACCGGUCUUCGACGAGGAGAAGGUCGAGCCAUGGAUGGUCGAGUCAUGGAAAGUUAAGAUAUUUUCUUUCUUAUUAUCUUAAACUGGGCCUGACUGUCAAAUUUAAGCGCAAACGGACAUUCAGAAGGGUUCCGGCAAAAAAUAUCAAAUUUUGAGCUGCUAAACUAAAAUUAAGCUAUAUAUAUUGAGGGGCUCUCUUCUUCCUCCUCAACCGAGCACCACACCAACACACACACGUAUGGAGAGGGAGAGAGAAAUCUUCCCUUUCUCUCUCUAGAUAUCUCCCUCAUCUCUCUAGAUCUCUCUCUCAAAUUCGCGGCGUUGGUGGAAAGCAAGCUUGGGAACGCGUUGGAGGCGUCGGUUCGGAUCCUCGUGCGACCGUUUGAGCAGCGUGCUUUCGACUAGGCAAUUGCAAUUUGGUAAGAGUUUAGGAUUUGGUUAAAUCCUUCCUAAAUGGUGUUCUAGUAGCCUCUAAUGUGAUGUUAGCAUGUUUUCUCCAUUUAAUUUGGGUUAUUUGGAGUGUAUGUACAUGCUAGGGUUAGAAUGUGGAUUUUGGGGUUUUGUAGCAAAUGAGGGUUCUGAUCUCAUUUAACCCCGUAUUUCUCUAAUUGAAGGUUAGAUAAGGACUCUUGAUGACUCAAAGUUGAGAAUCGACGUGUGUUCGGUGAUCGUUUGCGAGUGCGAGCCGAACCAGACAUGUGUGCCGCAGGAGGCCGAUUGCAAGUACUACAAGCAAUUGGAGAGCAAUAUUAGGUGGGUUGUGCUCAUUGAAGCGAUUAGGUUGCUUCCAUGCCAAAGUGUAGUGUGUUUUGUUGUUGAUGCAUGUAAUGGAAGUUAAUUGCAAGGCAAAUGAAUGCAUGAGUAGAUGCUAAAUAAAUGCAUGAGUAAAUGCUAAAGAAAUGCAUAAGAUAAUUGCUAAUGAAUGCAUAUGAUAAAUAACAAUGAAUGCAUAAGUUGUAUGCUAAUAAUGAAUGCAUGAGGUAAAUGUUAAGUUGUAUAAUGACUACCAUUGGACGAUAAGGUAUAUGCAUGUUGACAUAUUGUAGCAUGUGCUAGAUACAUAUGAAUGUGAAUGCAUGAUAGAGAUGCUGGUUAUGAAUGUGAAUGCAUAAUUGAGAUGCUAAUAAAGAAUGCAUAAGCUAUAUGCUAAACGAAUGUAUAAUCUAGAUGCUAAAAUAUGCAUGUGAGAAAUGUUAAAAAAUAUGUGGCAUAUAUGCUAAAAGAAUGUAUGAUUGAAAUAGAUGCUAAUGAAAAAUGUAUAAGGUAUGUGCGAAGUGAAUGCAUGAUGUAUGCUAAGUGAAUGCAUAGAAUAUAUGCUAAGUGAAUGUAUAAGAUUAAGACGCUAAUUAUGAAUGCAUAGGCAUGUACGUGAAAUGCUAAAGAAUUUAUGCAUGAUUCCAAUUGUGAGAUUAUGCUAGAAUGACAUGAAAGUUGAACUUGAGUCGAUGAACUCUAAGUAUAGUAAAGAACUCAACAAGUGUGGCAUGUCAAGUAUGAUUCCUAGGUAUGGACAGCUAGAAAAACAAGAACACUAGUGGCAUUCAAUCUAGUGUUAUGGAACAUAGGUGAAUUAUGAGUGGCAUUAAACCUAAUGUAUUAAACUUAGGUUGAGAAUUGAACCUAGAGUCAGGUGAACCUAGGUUAAGAGAUGAGUGACAUUGAACCUAGAGUCAAGUGGACCUAGAAGGAAAAUGACAUUGGACCUAAUGUAAUAAACUUAGAUUGAGUAAUGGCUUGGACCUAGAUAGAUCGACAUUAUAGGGUGAGACCAACCCUUGAGCUAUGUAAAGUGGAUUCCGGAAUCCCAGGACUUGAGGCUCGACAGUUCUUGGCCGCGGGUUCGUGUGGCAUAUUCCCCUCCCACCGAAAGAACUUCGAGGAUAGUGGAUAUGGAAGAUUCUUGGCCGCGGGUGCUUGUGGCAUAUUCCCCUCCCACAGAAAGAAUCUUGGAUCGCUAGGGUACGUGUGGCAUAUUCCCCUCCCUAUCGGGGGUCUUGGGCCGUGGGUGCGUGUGUCAUAUUCCCCUCCCACCGGGAAGAUCCCUGACCCCGGGUGUGCGCUACUCUGAGCGACCCGUUGGGCGAUGUGGUUUGUGGAUUGGUGGCUCAGGUGCAUGUGAUAAUUCUUUCACCUCGAGCCUGACAGAGCGCGGAUUAUCCGCAGCUGAUUGACUCAAGACCAAGUCGAGUGGUAUAGUUGGCUAAGGUAAAGUAACCUUAGUAAAGAAUAAAGAAUAAAGAGCAGAGAACGGUUAAUGCUAAAAUAUAGCAAUAAUAAAGAAUAGCUAAGAAACAAGAACGGCUAGUAAUAAGAAAUGGUUAGCGUUAGAGAAUGGCUAGCGAUAAAGAAUGGCUAGUAAUCAAGAACGAAUAAUAAUAAAGAAUGACAAAUGGUAAAGAAUAGAAUUAAGUGAACUACUUGCAUGAUUCGCAUAUUGCAUAUUGUGAGGCAUGAACAUGAUAAUUGUUAGUUGCAUAAAUUAUAUAUAUCUGUGGAUAUUUAUUGGACUAACAUGUUUGCAGUGUCUCCUUUGGACCUGGUAGGUCGAGCUCUUCCCUUGGGUGGCUAUACCCACUGGAAACUAUGGACAAUAGUUCUCACCCCCGUGUUGUUUUUGGGGGUUACAGGUUCACACGCGAGCGGCGCGGCGGUGCGAGGAAAUGACGUAGCUCCGUAGUUAGCGCCCUACCACCGAGACCAGAGAUAGCAGUACCCUGAGUCGGUUACUUAGGGAUGUAAAAAAAAUGAAAAGAACCAAGUUGUAAUAAUGAUGUUAAAUCUGAUUGUAUUUGGAAGCUAAAAAGAAUUAAAGAUGUAAUAUGUAAAUGUAUGUGAGUUGCACGCUUGUAAUAGCAUAGUGGUUAUGUUUUUGAUACCUUCCUUAUGCAAUCUUUGUUGUAUGCUGUUCCUGGUUGGAACCUCGCGCAUUGUAUGAUUGUGACGCCUUAGACGUACAGGGGAGACUCUGUCCGCGGUAUAGGAAAAAUCUUGUCCGUUCGACGGUCUGUUGGCGUGCCCGAAUCGGACCAAAUAGGCGGGCUCAGGGCGUGACAACACUAGUAGGUGCUCCGUCAACGACUACACCUCCGUCAGCAAUAAUUUUGGAAAUACAGAUGUCGAGUGUGGAGACGUCAAGGGUAGGCGGAUAGUUGUCAGCAACAGAGAAUUAGGGGAAUGGAGCGAGGUUGGUAGACUUCCGUAGAUUCGAUCCAACGAGAUUUCUAGGUCAGAGUACCGAGUCAUGGAUAUUUGAGGCUUGGUGGGAACCAUGAAGAAACUUUUUGAGGAUCUCUUUAAUCCUAAGAGUGACCAAGUAUAUUUGGCAGUUCACUGCUUGGAAGGUGACGCACAUACAUGGUGGCUGAGGAUCAAGUCAACCUGAUCGCAGAGUGCACUGCAGAUGACAUGGACCGAGUUUCAGGUGUUGCUAUUUGGGGCCUAUUUCGCAAAUAGUGUAAAGCAAAAAUUCAAAGAUGAUUUAAAGAACCUGUAACAAGAUGAUAGGAUGGUGAAGAAGUAUGCCAGAGAAUUCAACCGUCUGCUAAACUAUGUGCGGUUCGAUAUGAGAGACGAGGCACACAAGACAUAUCUAUUUGAGCGAGGGUUGCAGCUGGAGAUUUACCAUUUGGUUCAGGCGUAGCAUUUAUAGGCUCUAGGCUAGGUGACUAAGAAGACUCUAUGGGUGGAAAGAGGUACCACCAUUAUAAGGGAGCGAACUGUUAUAUUGGAGCAAGGCCAGGAUAGGAAGUGCCUAGCACCGGACGAGGGGGAACAGGCUAGUGUGAGGAGAUCGCCAAGGAUCCCAAGAUCUCACUCUCAGGAUCGUUGGCCUUUCGUGAGACAGAGGUUAGUGCAUCCCGACAGCAGCGGCGACAGCAACGGGAUAGAUGUGUUGUCUAUGAAAGGUUGCACUAGCCACACACUUGUGCUCAGCAAGAGGGGUAUUGUUACUGCUGCGGACAGGCGGGGCAUUUGCGGCCAUCAUGUCCCAGAGAGGCUUUACUAGCACCAUUAACAGCAUAAGCUUUUUCUUUCCCACAACAGAUGAUAGGGUGUCACACCCUGCGAUCGCCAAUUUGGUCUGUUCAGGCACGCACACAGACCGCCGAACGGAUUAAGUUUCCCCUGUCUGCCCAAGGCUCAAUAACAUCAUGUACAUUGAGUUUUGCCCAGGAAAAAACAAUUAACAUACAUGACUUGCACGAGAGCAAAUAUACAAGAGUAAGAGAGAAGAUUAACUUAGCUUCUUUUCUUUUUGAGAGAUAGGUAGCACGCUACCCGCUUCGUUUAUUUCAUUUAGAAAUAAACUUAGCUGGAAAUGUGAAUAAACUAGGAUUCGAACUUGGGUCUCGGGUACCACCCACCAAGCCCUUUGCCACUUGCUCUAGGAACGGUCGAAAAGAUUGACUUAGGUAUUACAACCAUUCAUUUGAACAUUCACUUACGACUCACCAAAACAUAACCAUUUGGUUCAUAGUACAUAUACAUGUUUGUUGUCUUUCUCUUCAAAAUACAAAAUGUCUCUCACAUAUAUAUACAUGGUAUUCUAAUGCACGGGGUCCACUACCUAGGGCACUAUUUCUUUGCCGCGAUCCUCGACCGCUCCGCUAGCACUAGGAUCUGCAAAAUAAUGGGGUGAGAACUAAAAAAAAUUUUCAGUGGGUUCGCUCGCCGACCCCGUCGACUUUCCUACUAGGUCUAAGUAGGCAUAGGUAGAGAAAGAAAGUAAUAAUGAUAAGUACUAACAACUAAACCACUAUGCCUCAACAAUAUGAUAAAAUGAGUUGGGACGUCACUAUGCUCAUGGUGUAUGUCAUUUUUGUCUUUAUAAACCAAUUAUACCGGCUAACCUGAAAGUUGAGCCCAACUCACAACUGAAUCCCACAGAUGAGGAGAUGCUCGCUACAACCCAUCGGGGACCUAGGUAGCUACGUCACCCUUACUUCAAGCAAAAAACGAAAAUCUCGUCCUAAAAAAUCGCGGUGCGCUGUGUUAACACGCGGUCGAAAUGAACUUUACCUCAUAGGCCGCGUGAGGGAGAAUCCAUGAGGGAACCGGCUCCCGUGGACUCUCUCUCCCUCAUUAUAUUUAUAUAUAUAUAAUCAUUUAUUUUUAUAUAAAUAUGUUACUAUAUAAUAUUAUUUAUAAAUAUAUAGUAAUUUAUUUUAUAGUACUAAAUAUAAUAUAUUAUUAUGUAUUAAUAUUACAUACUUAUUGUAUAUAAUAUAUAUUUUAAUAUAUUUAUUUAUAAAAAAUUAUAAUAAUAAUAUAUAUAGUAUAAUAAUUAUUAUAUAUUAAUUAAUAAUAUGUAAUAUAUAUAUUUAUUUUGUCUUUUUCUUUCUUUUAAUUAAACAACCAUAAAGAAAAAACUAUUUUCUUUUUCUACAAACCAAAUAUUAUAAAACGUAAAAAAAAAAAAUUUCCGAAAUUUUUUUUACUGAAAUUUUGUUUUAAUAAUUUUACGUAAAACCAAACACACCCUUACCAAAAGUACUAAUAUCACACAGAAACACGGUAGGCAUGCAUGGGCAUGCAUAAUCACUUUUUCCACAUAAAGAAAUCGAGAGAGAGAGAGAGACAGAUCUUCCUAUUAAUGACCUUGAUUACUCCAUAAACUUCAAGUUAUUCACCACACACAACUUAAAUAGGAGAAAAGUGAGGAGAAGUAAAACCUAAGAUCUAAUUACCGGACUCAUUAUCUCGCCCUACUACUAGGACUACCUCUUAUGAAAAAGGUUAAUUAUAAUAAGAAAACAUUGAAACCCAACUUGAUUUCCAUUAAUUUCACUCCAAAAUAAACCUCAAAUUAAUUAAGACGUCAUAGACAAAUAUAUAUAUCCUCAUAUGCUCCUAGCCAUCAUCUCCUGGUACCUCCUAUAUGAUUCCUGCUUCUCCAGCCUAAACUUCUCAUGGCACAUUUCAAUGAACUUCUCCGCAAGCCGGUCGAUCUCAUUUAACUCUUCGACAUCCGCCGUCCCGCUAUCGCCGCUAUUUUUUUCCUCUAGCCAUCGGAGGUAUCCAGAGAUCGGUUCAUCGCCGCAUUCCAACUCGGUGGAUAUUAUCGAAGUCCAUGCUGAGUCAUAGUACGAGUGACUCGCGUCAAACUCCUCCGCGAAAGUGUUCUCGCACAUCGGUAUCACAUGCGACGAUGCACGGUUGAAUUGCUUCUUGAUGAAGCUAGAAAGCAGCUUCUUUUUGCUCCUGAUCUUCUUCCUGAAGAUGCAAGCGGUGGCGGCGGCGGCGGCGGCGGCGGCGGCGGCGGAGCGUCUCUUCUUUCGUACAAGGAAGUCAAGUGCCGUGGACUUCAUUUCGGCAAGGGCUUCGACAAUACGACACACAUGCUGGAGGACAUAGGCAUGGAGAAGUGCCUUGAUCUUGAGGUGGGUUGAGCUUGGAAUACAUGGAGUAAAUGUCAUUGUGAAAUGGUUGAGAGGGUGAAGGGAUUUUAGACGAGGUUGGUGAGCCAUAUGAAAUAAUUAAUCCAGCAACUCGAUCACUUUGGCAGUGUGUCUUGUGUGUUCUUUUAAAGGUGUUAACACACAUAAAUGCAGCUCUCGAUUGAGCAAAUUACAGAACUGCCAUUUCUUACUUUGAAGGAUAUAUACACAUAUAUAUAUCUGGCUGGCAUGGGUACUUUUUCAUCUGAUCGAUAGCUGCUUUUAAUAGGAAUUUAAUUAGGCUGAUCUCCGGUAUGUGAAGCUAAGCCUAUCUAUACAAGUAUAUAUAUACCUCAGCUGCUUGACCUUAAUGAAUUAAGCAUAAUUAAUAAAUACACACUGUUAGAGUAAAAUACACCAUUAAUUACAUGCCAUCGUAUAUGCAAGAAUAGUAAUAUUAUACUGAUCACUUUAUAAAAGUUGAUCACCACGAAUUAACUUGAUUUGGUUACUACGAAUAUUAUUACUAUCUCAGAAUCGUUAAAUCAAUUGUUGCAUCAACGAUGAUUAGUGUGGGAGAUAAAUUAAUCAAGUAUCAUAGCAUCAGUAUGUAAUUAAUGAUAUGAUAACUAAAUUAGCUGCGCAAUAGUUAGAAAAAUUAAACUUAUAAGCUUGAUACAAUGGCCUGAGUAAUGAAAGCAAAAAAUUAUAGUUUGGCUGAUAAAUUACAACGAACUAAUUAAAAGCUCAGUACACAAUAAAUGGUGUAUUAAUUCACCCUAUAUAUAUAUAUAUUCAAGUUAUACUCAUUAAGAAGUAUAUAUGUACUUUCUAUACAAAACAUAUUUACAAAUUAAGACACUAUUAAUUAAUUAAUUAGAAUUGCGAACGUGUUAACUCUAUAUAUCCGCGCGCCUAGCAUUAAUUGCAAGGGAUUGAUACAAUAUAUAGCUUUAAUUUUGUGAUGGCAUAAGUACCCUAGAUUUUAAUUAAUUGGAGAAUAUGGGGAUAUUCGUUGAGAAAGUGGAGUGAGUUUGGUGUGGCUUCUCUGACAAGAGCAGAUUGCGGUGAGAAUCUCCACAACAAGGAAGGAAAAGUAAAGGGGCAACAACAGCGGCAGGUGAGAGCCUAAACCAACUUUAGUAUUGUGCUAGAAAAUAGCAGCCAAUCACAUGAAAGAUUGGGACACAUACAUGCAUCAUCCUGCUUUCGCAUUCCUUGCUCUUUCAAGUCAAUAUACUACGUCAAGAUAGUCCAAAACGUUCAACUUUCUAGGUUUGAGGGUUUUGAUACGGGGCAUCAUGGUUACAUCAAUACGGGGAAAACGAUAUGUAAAAGCGGGAUAUAUAACAACAUAAACUCAACUCCAAUUUCGUGGGAUCAAGGUUGAAUUAAAUUGACACACAAGAAAUUUAAAUAUAAUAUAUUCUUUUUCACCCAGUUAGAGGUGAAACCAUAUAUAUAUAUAUAUAUAUAUAUAUACACACUACAAGAUAAUUAGGUUAUAGGGACACAUGUUUGGGACACUUUUGAGUAAGUGUCCUAUUUAUGCUAAAACUUAAAAAAAACAUCUACUAAUACCUAAAUAUAAAGCCCAAUCCAACCAAAANACUGAAAUUCUAGACGAAGAGCCUUUACUGUCGUUCUCCUCCGCCACCGCAGCCAACGAGAUAGAGUUUCGGCAGUUGCUAAAUGCUUAAAUAAGUGUUUGUAAAUUAGCAGCACUCUUUUAGAUUAUAGCGACACUCUUUAACUGUCACUAUAUACCUAGCGACCCCACAUAUAGCAACACUUUUUAAAAGUGUCGGUAAUUUUAGCUAGCAACACUUUUUUGACAUUAACUGUCACUAUAUACCUAGCGACCCCACAUUUAAAAGUGUCGCUAUAGACCGUUUUUGUUGUAGUGAUAUAUAUAUAUAUAUAUAUAUAUAUAUAUAGAGUCCGGCUACUAUACUCUAAUGAGUACGAUCGCCUUCGUAUUCAUAAGUCGUUUUCAAUGAUAGAGCUUCCGAAUCGACGAUCCAUACCGUUAAACAUUUUUUAGAGCAUUUAAAACUUCUAGAAAUCAAAUUUCAUAAUUUUUCAACAUCAUUUACUUUACGAUCAAAAACUCACAAAAUUGACAAUUUUUAACGGCCGGUAUGAAAUACUGGCUAGUUUAACGGUGCAAAAGAAUCCGAAUAGGUUGAAUUUUUGAUAGAAAAUUCUAUUUACUACCUAGAUAAAGAUCAAUAACUUCAAUCUUAAAUUGAAGGAUCUGAUCAUCCAUUUUUAAGACGUCGUUCGAUUUUGACCGUUCAUUUUAUGCCCGCUUGAUGGACAUUAUUAUGAUUUCGAAAAAUUACGAAAUUUAUUUUCUAGAAGUUUUAAAUACUCUAGAUCAUAUUUAACGGAGUGGAUCGUCGAUUCGGAAGCUCAAUCAUCGAGAACAACUUAUGAGUACGAAGGGCUCUAUACUCAUAAGAGUAUAAUACCAGUUUAAUCUGUCAUGCUCCGAAGUCCCAUUGUGUUUAAAAACAAAGCGGAAGUGCUCAAAUUUUUUUUUUGAAAACCUGACCCUCAGGGUAUGCCAGAUCCGCCACAAAUAUAGGGAGUCCACUAUUCACACGGACAGAGUCUCCCUUGUAUUUGCACGGCGUCGCAUAAGUACAAGAUACAAUAUUUGCCAAACAGGAUACAACCACACAUAUACACAUACACAUAAUCAAACAUCAUUCGCAAUCACAUCUACAAACAGAGUUAUUCAUAAAUUCACAACUAUUAGUUUAAAAUGUUUCCUACCCGGAAACUUGUUUUGAAAUACUAAAUCAUGAAAAUCACGAGAAAACCUUUUAAAACCGUUUUCCACACGGAAACUCUUUUCUUUUAAAAACUCGCUACCAUAAGAGGUAGAAAACCAUUUCCAUUUCACAGAAAUCCCAAUUCUAUUAUUACAUUUAUAAAACUAGAUGAAUUCAAGGUAAUAGUAAUUGAACCAAGUAAACUGUCUAAGUCAUUUAUUUAAAGAAGUUAGGUUAGAGAAUUAACCAACAACGGGACGAUGGCUCUAUCGAUCACUAGGCUUGCUCUUCACGAACCGUCCCACUAGGACCUGCGACGUCACCUGUAAUGAGGGUGGAGGGGUGAGAACAUGUAAACAUGUCUCCCCUCCCAAUGGGUACCGCAAGCCGACGAGAGCGAGGGGUACGCACCAGUCAGUGAGGAUAAACAACAAUAUGGGUAAGUGAAAUACAGUAGCAACGAUAAUAAAUAAAUAGGAUAUAUAAAUGUACAGCUACUGCUACUGUAUGUAUGCAUCAACGGACAACAAGUCCAAAAUACCAAAUCUGGAUCAACCAUAUUGGUCCGCAACACCUCAGGCCUAUGCCACAACUGCCCAAUCUAUACAUGACCCUCGCAUAAAGCACCCGGGUCUGAAAGGUGUAUGACCCUCGCAUAAAGCAUCCGGGUCUGAAAUAUAUAUGACCCUUGCAUAAAGCACCCGGGCUCAUGGGUUAGCACUCCCAACCACUUUUUCGGAAAAGAACACCCUCUUGCGGUGGAUCAGACUGCUAGUAUUCGUAAAAUGCGUACGAGCAGUGGCGAUCGAUGCUGAAUGCUCAAUAGCCAACAAUCGGCAACUAGCCGACAAUCCCGUCCCUCUGGGCACACCGACCAUAUAGGUCGUCAAAUGGUCCAACCGGCCACGUAGGUCACGAUAACAAUACAAUAAGACGACCAACUAGGUCACAGAUACGAGAUACGAGAACCGACCAACCAGGUCACAGAUAUCACAAAUAAUCACAAAACCGCUCUAGUCUAAACAUGAUAUCGGAUACGCAAAACAGCUAAGUAGAGCAAUAAAGAAACAUGGUAUAGGUGCUAGGCUCAACAUAUAAUACAUGCAUUUAGAGUAACAAUGGGACAACAAGGGUAAGGAGAUAUCACUGAGCGUGCACUACUGUACCGACUUCGGAUCGAAGUAUCCACCUAUACAAAUUGGUACUGGCCUUCCAACUACGGAGAAAGUCACAACCGGACCUACGAGGGGUCCACCGGGUUAGCGUCCAACCUACAACACGAAUCACUAACUCACAAACCCCACCAAUAACCCUACGGGAAUUAGUUUCCCAAAACCGAUUGCCCAACACGUCGGAAGUCCCGAAAAUCGCACCGGGACUCCGCCGGGACCCUCGUACUGUCCCGGCACUGACCAACUCCAGCUACAAGUCACCCGCUGCCACUAAACAUAUAUUUUCGUGUGACUUGGGAGCAAAAAUAUUAUCUCACUUCGAAACGAUUAUCAUAGGAUAAUCGUUCGGGUUCCCGAAAGUGUCCAAUUCGACACCGGAACCCACCGUCGCUCACCCGUCGUUUUCGAACCCUUAAAACGACGCGGGUGACCAGCCAACCAGGCUCAGCAACGACACAAAUUAUCACGAGGCACCAUCGGAAGAAUUUCGAACCGAAAACGCGUUCCGUCAGUGGAUUUCACCGAAAAACGCACCGAAAAUCAACAUUUGAUUUCCGAAAAGGCUUGGGGCCGUGGACAACCAAUCCAGAGGUCACCCACUGCCCACACACGCUGCCAAUAACGACCACAACAAGCACAAUUGCGUAAAAACCCUCCGAUUACAUAAAAUCACAUUAUUUUAUGUGAUUUUCAGGGUUUUACGGCUCGACCGCACAACCGAGAGUAUUCAAGCUAAGCCGAGACACUCGCCGACAGGUCUCGGUGUGCCGGAGGCCGUGUUCACAUUUCAGAGCACUGCCGGCCACUGUGGCAAGCGCGCGACCGAUGCAAACAUCAGCGAAAUAGCGCGCAUAGUGCCUAAAUCGUGUCUAACACGCAAACCGAGGCAUCACUGACCCCAACGGAGGUGAGCACGAUGUUCGGCACGGAUUAGAGAUCAUCGUCCUCACUUCCAGAAUUAUCGAGGUGCCCUCGAAUCGCCGGAAUGGCGACCGGAACCUCAAAUAGUGCACAGAAACUAUAAUUUAAUGCUUACCGAACCAGUGGGAGCACGGGUUGGUCGCCGGCAACCGAACGGCGGGGACGCCGGCAGGGGACGGGCGCGGCCAGUCAGUGGGGUCCGGGGCACGUGCUGGCCGGCGGCGGGAGGCAGCCGGUGGCGCGGCGGAGGAGAUCAAGCCCACACAACACGGCUCGGCCCUAGGAGGCAGCGGCGGCCAGGCGGCGGCCGGAGGAGCGACGGGGCGACGACGAUCGGUCGCCGGAGGCCGAGGGGAGGGCGGCACGCUCGACGUUAGGCGGCAGCGCGACGCGCGGAGGCCAAGGUGGCUCCGUCUCGGCCCGCACAAAGUUUGGGUGGUCGCAGGGAGCACAAGCAGCGGCCGGUGGCCUCGGGGACGGCGGCGAUGGUACGUGGGGGAUCGCCAGAGACCGAGGAAGUGUAGAGCUACUAUGCUAUUGGAAGCAUAAAGUAGUUGGUGCUUCUGAUUUUUUAGCCCUUGAAUGAAAGAUUUUACGGUUGAAAUGAUAGCAGUCCUCUUAGGGUUGAGUAGUCCCUAUAGGGUUGAGUGGUCCCCAUUAGUUAAUAAUAUUAAUCCAAUGGUUAGAAAUGAACAAUGGGGUUGAUCUAAAGGCUAAAAAAUCAGAAGCACCAACUAUUUUAUACUUCCGAUAGCAUAGUAGCACUACUAUAUAUAUAUAUAUAUAUAUAGAGCUAGGCUACUAUACUAUCUAUAGUACCGAGCUCCAAUACUAUAGUGUUGGUUUUCGAUCUUAGGGCGUUCAAAUCAACGAUCCACACCGUUAAAACUGAUCUAGGGUAUUUAAAGUUUCUAAAAAUAAAAUUUUAUAUUUUUUCGACAUAGUUUACUUUAUGAUCAAACUAUUUCAAAAUUGUCAAUUUUCAAUGGCUAUUAUGACGAGUUUGGAGUUUAACGGUGUAGAGGAAUCUAAAUUUCUUCAAAUUUUGAUAGAAAAUACUUUAAACUAUAUAGAUUAAGGUUAACAUUCUUGAUCUUGAAUUUAAAAGUCCUAUACUCAAAUUUUAAAGAUUAUUCAAUUUCCACCGUCCAUUUUGAUAUAAUUUAUUUACUAAGUAAACGAUAUCGAAAAAAACUAAAAUUUUAUUCCUAAGAAAUUCAUAUACCNUACUACCGAUUUGUUUUUGAUGAUAGAGCUUCCAAAUCGACGAUCGGCACCGUUGAACACCAUCUAGACCAUUUAAAUUAUCUAGAAAUCAAAUUUCAUGAUUUUUUGGCAUCACUAACUGAACGAUCAAAGGGUUACAAAAUCUAUAAUUUUAAUGGCCGAUAUGGUGCGUUUGCUCGUUUAACGGUAUAGAAGAGUUCAAAUCAACUAAAUUUUUGUUAGAAAAUUCUUUAAACUAUUUAAAAUAAGAUCUACACUCUAGAUCUCAAAUAUAAAAAUUGUAUCAUCACUUUUUGAAGGAUAUUCAUUUCCAGCCAUUCAUUUUUCUAUUCACUUGAUGGAUAAGAGAACAAUAUCGAAAAUGUUUGAAAUUUGAUUUUCAGAUAGUUUAAAGUAGUUUAGAUCAUGUUUAACGGUGCUGAUCAUCAAUUUGGAAGCUCUAUCAUCGAAAACAAAUUAGUAGUAAACCCGAGCCGUUUACUACCGAUAGUAUUCUAGUAAAACUCUAUAUAUAUAUAUAUAUGCUAGGGCUAUUAUACUCUUAUGAGUAUAGAGCUCUUCAUACUCAUAAGUUGUUUUUAAUGAUGGAGCUUUCAAAUCGACGAUCCACUCCCUUAAAUAUGAUCUAAAGUAUUUGAAACUUCAAGAAAAUAAAUUCGUAAUUUUUAAAAAUCAUAAUAAAUUCAUCAAGCGAGUAUAAAAUGAAUGGUCAAAAUCAAACGACGUCUUAAAAAUGAAUGAUCGGAUCCUUCAAUUUAAGAUCGGAGUUAUUAAUCUUUAUCUAUGUUGUGAAUAGAAUUUUCUAUCAAAAAUUCAACCGAUUUCAAUUCUUUACACCGUUAAACUAGCAAAUAUCCCAUACUGGCCUUUAAAAAUUGUCAAUUUUGUGACCUUUUCAUCGUAAGGUAAAUGAUGUCGAAAAAUUAUAAAUUUGAUUCCUAGACAUUUUAAAUGCUCUACAUGACGUUUAACGGUGUGGAUCGUCGAUUUGGAAACUCUAUCAUCGAAAACAACUAAACAACUUAUGAGUAUGAGGGCGAUCGUACUCAUAAGAGUAUAGUAGUUGGACUCUAUAUAUAUAUAUAUAGAGAGAGAGAGAGAGAGAGAGAGCUAGUCUCCUAUACUAUCUAUAGUACCGAGGUUCCGGUACUAUAGUCUCGUUUUCGAUCUUAGGGUGUUCAAAUCAACGAUCCACACCGUUAAAACUGAUAUAGGGUAUUUAAAGUUUUUAGAAAUAAAAUUUUAUAUUUUUUUGACAUAGUUUACUUUAUGAUCAAACGAUUUCAAAAUUGUCAAUUUUCAAUGGCUACUAUGAUGAGUUUGGAGUUUAACGGUGUAAAAGAAUCUAAAUUUCUUCAAAUUUUGAUAGAAAAUACUUUAAACUAUCUAGAUUAAGGUUAACAUUCUUGAUCUUGAAUUUAAAAGUCCUAUGCUCAAAUUUUAAAGAUUAUUCAAUUUUCACCGUUCAUUUUGAUAUAAUUUAUUUACUAAGUAAACGAUGUCGAAUAAAACUAAAAUUUUAUUCCUAAGAACAUCAUAUACUCAAGAUCAUAUUUAACAGUGUGGAUGAUCGGAUCCUUCAAUUUAAGAUCAGAGUUAUUUAUUUUUAUCCAGGUAGUGAAUAGAAUUUUCUAUCAAAAAAUCAACCUAUUCCAAUUCUUUUACACCGUUAAAUUAGCAAGUAUCCCAUACCGGCCGUUAAAAAUUGUUAAUUUUGUGAGGUUUUGAUCAUAAGGUGGAUGAUAUCGAAAAAUUAUAAAAUUUGAUUUCUAGAAGUUUUAAAUGCUCUAUAUAAUGUUUAACGAUAUGGAUCGUCGAUUCAGAAACUCUAUCAUCGAAAACAUAUGAGUACGAGGGCGAUCGUACUCAUAAGAGUAUAGUAGCUAGCCGGACUCUAUAGUCUAUAUAUAUAUAUAUAUAUAUAGGGAGGCUGGUAUGCUUCUGAAAGUACGGAGCCCUCCGUGCUUCCAAGUCAUUUUCGAUAUUAGGACUUUCGAAUCGACGAUCAGCUCCGCUAGAUGUGAUCUAAAGUAUUUAAAGUAUCUAGAAAAUAAAUUUCUAAAAAAGGCUAAAAUGCAGAAAUUUCCUCUAUAAAUAUCCCUUUUUCACUUAAUUUCCUGUCUUUCAAAAACUUCGAUUUUCUCCUUUUUAAAUUUAGAGUUGUAACACUCAACUAAACAAUAUUAUAAUUUCAUCACUAUACUGUGCAUAAAUUAUAUAAUAUAGCAAAGAAAUUUAAUGAGAGAUAUAUAUAUGUUAUAUUCUUAAAAAUGGUGAGAAUAAUUUUAUAUAUUCUCUUAAAUUAAAUAACUUUUUAAAAGAGAUACUUGACUAUUUACUAAUUUACUUUUCUUUUUCUAUCAUUUUUAAGAACAAAAUAAGUAUACUAGUAAUUAUCUAAUUGUACUACACAAUUUAUGUUCAAAGCAAUGACGAAAUUAUAACAAUUCUGAGCUACUAGGUGUUAUGACUUUAUAUUUUAAGAUAGGCAAAGUAUAAGUUUUAUAUUUUGAGGAAUGCUUCAAUACAAUAUAAAUAUUAAAAUCUAAUUCUUAAUUAGUAAAGGGUAUAAUUGAGUUUUACGUGAAGUAACCUGUUGAACAGGUUACCGAUUUGAAUUAGUUAACAUGACAAUAUUGGAAAAAAAAAAAUAGUAGUAUAUGCCAAAUUUGUCACCAUUCUAUAAAUAUUAAAUAUCUUAUUUACGUUGGUAACUUACCAAAUUAGAUAAUACCCAAUUUGUUAAGUAUACAGCUCAAAAAAAUAUUAAAUUUAUUUUUUGAAGUUGGUAUUGUAAUGUAAAAUUUUAAUUUUGAAAUUUAUAUUAAACUUUUAAAUUUGAAUCUAAAUUGAACUUUUAAUCUUAAAGACAAAUUUUAAUUUUUGAUUUAAAUUGAAAUUUUGAAUAGAAACUGAAAGUUUUAUUUUAAAUUUGUGUUUUAUAUUUAAAAAAAUUGAAUUUUAUUUAUAAUUAAGUUUUAAAUAUUGUUUUGAAUUUAAAUUUACAAUUUGGUUGUAAUUUGAAAUCCAACUAUUUCUGUAGGCAUUUGAAAAGAUCAGAAUAUUUUUAGUUGGAUAAAAUUGGUUUUGUAAAUCAAAAUAUUUUACAAAGACCAAAAUACCGUUUAAAUAGGUACUUGGUGAAUAGUACCUAUGUUUCAAUAGUAGAUCAUCUCUAGAUUCAUAUUAAAUCUAUACCAUCUAUUAAGAAAAAUAAAUGGUCAAGAUUUAUGUGGUGUAUUGAAUGUCGGACCAUCACAUUAUUAUUAUGCACAUUGUUAUUUAUUACGGUUCUUUGAAUCAAGAUAGAUCUAAGGUACUACAGCAUGUCACACAUCCAUUAGCUAGGUUCCAUGCUCCGGAUUGGAGGAACCCCGAAAAAAAAAAAAAAAAAAAAAAAAAAUCCUCUUUUUAACAUAUCUAAGUAAAUAAAGAACAACUGCCUGUUCGAAGUUUAUUUAAAGGCGCAAGUACGUAGGAAGACGAAGUAAAUUAUUGUAAUUGUAAUAUGACGACGGGGAGUCCAGCUAUGAUGCUUGUAAAAGCACCAAGCACUUGGUGCUUGUAAGUUUUUUACCGUUAGAUCUACUUCUCGGAUCAUUUUUAACCAUUAGAUUAUACUAUUCAACCAAUCACCCACUAAACCCUAGGGGGCCCACAUCAUCUUAACCACAUAUCUUUUAAUCCAAUGGCUAAAAAUUUACAAGCACCAAUAAUUUGGUACUUUUAAAAGCAUAGAAGCUCAAUUCUAUAAUGACGUACGGAAGAAGUUUUACUUUUGUUUCUUGGGGAAGCAACCUAUCUAUUUAUACAACAGAAGAAAAGGGAUACAUGAAUGUGACUGAUCAGCACUGAUCAGGGAAUCUCAUUCCUUCAUCAGCUUUUUUCUAUGGUCUUCGCUUAAUUAAAGUCCAAAAUCAGCAUGACCAAGAAAAGCCACUAUUUGCAUUGAUUCUGCUAACUUAAUUAAUUUUGUCAUCUCUUAAGAUAAGCCUAAAUUAUAUAUGCACAAAAUUGUAAGUUUCGUAGGGAACUGUACGGUUUUAAUUAUUCUACUGUAUAAUUAAUGUGCUAUGACCUCAUCAUAACAGUUUUCGCAACUGACUAUUAAUUCAUGAAUUAAUGCUAUUAAAUUCAAGAAAAAAAAGAAUUUUUGCUAUAAAAAUCAACAAUAAAUAAAUUUGUGGGUAAAUUGCGCAUUUGGUCUUCAAACUAUGAGGAGGGUGAGACUUUAUUACUCAAACGUUACUCUGUUAUAAUUUUUAACUCGAACUAUGACACCCGAAGAGUCCCACAUUGGAUGGAAAUAGAAUUAUAAUUGGGUAUUUAAGAGGACUUCACCCUAGCAAUAAUAACUGGGUUUAAGCAUUUCGGGCUGGUGGUGUGGACCCAACGAGUUAUUAUUGCUAGCGGUCGAGUCGUUAAUUUGGUAUCAGAGUCUGUGAGAUGAGUCUUGGCUGAGAGUCUAUGACAGAGAGUCUGUGACAUCCCGAUAGUUCCACAUCGGAUUGCUAGUGGGCUGGAUCGUUAUACAAACUUGCAGAUUUGUUGCAAUCAACUUGUAUAACACAACCGACCAUCGCUAGAGCAAGUAGCAAAGAGUUUGAUUGUUGGUACCCGAGACCCAAGUUCGAAUCCUAGUUGAUUCACAUUUCCAGCUAAGUUUAUUUCUAAAAUAAAAUAAACGAAGCGGGUAGCAUGCUACCUAUCUCUAAAAAAAAAAACUUGUAUAACACAAUUUAGUUGAGUAAAUAUUGAUAUAUUCGCUAAGAUAAAAGUGAUAUAACAAUGUUGUAAUUGAUAAUGUGCUAAGAACUAAGAUGCUACAACAUUUUUAUAUCAGCAAUGCAUCAGAAUUUUAUCGACUAAAUUGGGUUGUGAGACUUAAUUACAACAAUUCUGAAAGGUCAAACUAGAAAUUGCAAAAAACUAAAGUUUAAGGAUUACAUAAAGUGUCACCUGCCUAAUAGUUUGAGGACCAAACAUGCAAUUCACCCUAAAUUUGUUUUCAAUUGAUUAAAUCAGUGCAUCGAACGAAGAAAACUUUUACUACAAAAUUUAAUUUAAUCUAAAUACUUUGAGCGCAAAGAUUAUUUUGCCACAAUUUUUGGAGCUAUCUAAUAUUCAUUAAACAGAUAGUGGUAAUGCAAAUUGGUGGAAAACCUUUGGCACACCACUUUUUUUAACACAAUUUCUUUUUUUUUUUUUUUUGAGAGAUAGAUAGUACGCUACCCGCUUCGUUUAUUUUAUUUAGAAAUAAACUUAGCUGAAAAUGUGAAUUAAGUAGGAUUCGAACUUGGAACCUCGGGUACCAACCACCAAUUCUUUUGUCACUUGCUCUGGAGUUCUAGUUGGCCUUUAGAUACAAGUCAUAAGAAUGGAUAUCUUUCUUAACUACAAAAGAUAUUUAAGGGAAAAUGUGACAAGGCAUGGAGUAUGGAUCACACAAGCUGGAGAGAGAGAGAGAGAGAGAGAGAGAGAGAGAGGUGUUCCUUCCAGCGAAUGUGGUUGUACAACACUAGAAUUCUAUAUUUGUUCAAUGACGAGAGAUUUUCUUUCAUGGCAAGAGGGAAUGGGACUCUUUAACUUUAAGGCCACGUACUCAUUGGGGGCCACUUUUGUAGUUCAUCCUUUUUGUGUGAAAGAGAGAAGUUAGAUUUCGAACAGAUUGUUUCUGAUCCUUUUUGCACUCCAAUGACUUCACCUCUACAAUCAUUUGCACAUGGGUGAAGAUUGGAGACUAUGGAUUGCACAGUUCACGCAUAGGAGCUUUUGAUUUAGACAUUUACUGAACACAAAAAUCCUUUUGCAUAUGCAUACCUACUUGCAUGAAUUGGAGUAGCUAGCUGAAUACAGAGUAGUUCAAAGUCCCCAUAAAAUUUGCGCUAGUAAUGGAUCCAUUUUGUAGUUUACUAGCAAACUGAGACGUAUUGCUGUGUAUCACAAAUCCUUUCCUAUGAUUGAAAGGUAAGGAUAGGAGCCGUCGUCAAUCCUUUUUUUAGCUCUUUAAAACUCCUUUGUCAAUUCUCACUCCAUACAUAUUUGGUUCUGUUAUGAGGAAUCAAGUGAAGGGUGCGGUAUAAUACCCGUACCCAAUUAAUUUUAAAAUCUAAAUAUAUGGACGUGAUAAACCCAUUAGUAAAUUGGGAUUUAUUUGUGCCGUCGGAUUUAACUGAUUUCGUUGGAUUUGUCGGUUUAAACCGAUUUGGUUGGAUUUGAUUUUCGGAUUAGUUAUACUCUAACACUUGUUAGAGUAGGAUUUAGAUUUAACCCUAAUUAAUCACCUAUCAAUAGGUAACUUAGAAAGAGUGUACGGCCAAAAAAAUAUAUAAUAAAAUAUUGUGCCCGGAUUCUUUAUGCGUGGCUGCUAGUGGGAGCAAGAUCCGACGAUCGUAUGGGAAGAAGAGAGAGAACUAGGUGAGUCUCCAAUGUUUAGUUCUUUUGGUUUUUAAUCUUCUUUUCAUUCUUUUUCUACCUCCCCAUCUUAUCCUCUCUUCACAGUGUACCACCAUCGUCAACGCCGGAGUGGUCGCCGGCCACCUACGAUCGGGUCGAGGCGAACUCCUCCGCAUGGGGUGAUCAGGGUUAGCCACGAAAGGGGUUUGGGAGAUUCUUUGAUUGGGUUGGGAAGGAGAAGGAACAAGAUGGAAUUAUUUUGGAUAUAGCUAGACCUGGUUGAUGGUAGACCACAUUAAUUUUUGCAUGGUUUAUUUUACAUUUGAGUUUCAAUUUAUCAUAACGAUAUUAUAAGCGAUUAAGUUGUUAAUUAGAGCAUUUUGCCUCUGUCUAAUAAACUAUAAUUAAUCAAAAAAGCUUAUGGUGCAUGCUGCCGGUGUUGGACUAGAUGCAAUGAAAUUUGGGUGCUUAUAAUUGCUUAAAAGAUCAGCCAGAGACCAAUCUAUAAAUAGCAAUCUUGGUUUUAGGGACUGGUUCGUAAAAAAGGCAUAACUUUUUAUCUAUAAGGCGGAAUUUCACGAUUUAAGUGCCAUUGGACUCGUCUUGAAAAUACGGAUAAGAUUAUGUGUUCUAAUUAUCUAGAUUUGCUAUAUAUUUGUCGCAAAAUUUUUAAUAGUUAAAGAGUUUACUUGAAAUGGGGCUGCUAUAAAACCUCAAUAUUAGAACGUGACAAAUUUGUGAGCAUUAAUAAAGGCAAGUAAAUAGUUAGUUUUUUGCAAAAGAUAGAAAACAUAUGGAUCCGAGUGGGUCUCAGGCACGAUUAUUAUUUGUUUUAUUUAUUAGUUGUUAGUACACCCGAGUGGAUUUUAUGAUUAUUAUAGGUUGUUGUGGUUUAUUUAUUUUCAUAUUAUUAUUAUCAUUAAAAUAAUCUAUUGUUCACGACCGCUGUGGUCGAAUACCUAGGAAGGAAGGGAUUUUUUCUUGUACACAAUUCCCAAGGAGGAACGACGCAUAGUUGUAACUCUCGUGGUUAGAGCGACAAAGUGGAGAUGCUCCAAAUUAUGACCAUUGUGGUUUCAAAUUGAAAAAUUAUCGUUAUCCUUAAAAUAGAUUUCUUUUUAAGCGUUGCGCUUACUUUUAUUGUGUACGGUUUCAGGAGCCGAGAUUAGGGCGUGUGAGAUAAUUGGCUGGCGUUAGAUAGAUUUUUAUCUUUUGGACAUAUAGUUUAUUUUGAUUUGAGAUUGAUUUAUUGGACAUUUAGUAGUUAUUGCUCAGUUUUUUUAAUUAAUAAAUUGUUUUAUUUAGUCUUUAAUUAAAAGGGGCUCUGAAUCUAUUUAAGGGCUUCCGUUUUUCGAGGUUCUUCUUUCAGAUUCGUGGCCAGUUGUUGCGGCUCGGAUCCGAGCAGUUGGAUCCAAAGUGUGACAGCUUUACUGGUAUCAGAGCCUAAGUUAUUAACACCUUAGGGCAAAAUGACACAAUACUCAGGAAUUUAGGACUCCCGAGUGUGUGGGAUUACUUUUUUGGAUACGAGGCGAGGGUUUAGCGUAUUUUAUGUCUUGAUUGUGUCUGUUAUGUAGAUGAUGGCUCGUUCUCGGAGGACUAUUAGUUCGCAAGCUAACGUACCUAGUGAUCCUCUUUUGUCGAAGAACCUACCACCAAAGAACUCAUAAUCGGAGGUGUUUUCAGCUAGAAACGACAGAGAGGGUCCCAAGACCCAUUGCAGGAGAUGUUGAGUGUUAUUAACACUCAGCAGGAUCAAAUGAUGGCCCUAUAGAAGGAGAUCAGAGGCAUUAAUGCAACACAAAGUAGCGAUCCUCGUGGUGGGAAAAGCCUUAUUGAUUUUCAGAAGCUAAAUCCUUCUAUUUUUCAUAGGUCGACGAUCCUCUAGAGGCAGAAUUUUGGUUCCAGAAGAUGGAGAAGGCCUUGAUGCAUAUGGGCAUUAGAGGAGAGACGCAGGUGACCUUCGCCAUUUAUAUGCUUCGGAGAGGAGCUUAUGAGUGGUGGAAGUCAGUCCGGAAUGGACAAAGUGAAAAGACACAAUCAUUGACAUAGAAGAAAUUUUGCAAGAUUUUCUAUAACAAAUAUGUCCCAGAAAGUAUUUGUUGGGCUAAGAAGGCAGAAUUCAUGCACUUGGAAUAAGAUAAUCGCAUGGUUACUGAGUACGAGCUCAAAAAUUUGAGAAAGUGCUAAGGCUAGACAUCAUGCAGUUGGUUGUUGGUUAUGAAUUGCUGAAUCUCAAAGAUAUUGUGAACAAGGCAGAUUGCACAAGUUAUUUUUGAGCCGAGUUGAACUCAUGACACCUUUUCUCAGUCUCUUUUAGGAGGUGCGUCCGAACGCCGAGACAAUCAGAAAGGCAGGAAUGAUGGCUCGAGACAGAGAGAAGGAGGUCGACUCUCACGACUGCAACCUAAAAAUAUGAGGUGUAGCCAAUGUGGCGAACCACACCAUACAAAUAGAUGUAGGUGGAAGUCGGGCGCCUGCGGUUCAUUUGUACAUAAGAUCACUAGCUGCCUAGUUAGGAAGCAGAAGCGAGAUGCGAUACAUCAGUAAGGUGCGGGCGCAUCAACAAGCGGGACGACUCCUUAGGGUCCACGUGCAUAGAGGUCGAUACAAAACUAGAGGGAUUAGAGUGGCUCGGGUCACUCAAGCCAGAUGCGAGCAUAUGCGAUGACGCAGCGGGAUAGGUUAGGAGGCAUGGACGUCCUGACAUGUAUGUUACAUUUCUCAGCAGUUUAUGCAUAUACCUUAUUUGAUUCUAGUGCCACACACUCUUUUAUAUUUAGGAAGGUAAUCUUAAAUUAUGGUUUGACGCAUUCACCGUUGGGAUUUGAUUUGUAGAUUGACAUGCUUGUGGGAGGCCUUAGUGUUUGCGAACUGUGCAGAUCUUGUCCAGUAGAAGUCAACGGUCAUGUGUUGCCAACUGACCCUAUAGUCAUCGAUAUGAAUGAGUUCCAUGUUAUUGAUGGCCCAUGGAGCCACAAUCGAUUGCUCUAGUCAGAAAGUGAUGUUUCAUACUCUCGACGGAUCAAAGUUUAUAUUCACAUCGGGAGUCAGAGCCGCUCUCCCCCGAGAAUCAUCUCAGCCUUGAAGGCUACUAAAAUGCUGUGGAGCAGCUGCUUCGCUAUUUUAAUAUCCACGAUGGACUCUUAGAAUGAGCAGUUAAAGCUUGAGGAGAUUCUUAUUGUGAGGGAGUUUCAGAUAUAUUUUUAUCCGAUUUGUUGGGGUUAUCGCCUGAUCGAGAGAGCGAGUUUAUUAUUGAUUUGGCUCCGGGUGCGAAACCUAUCUCUAAACCCCUGUAUCAGAUGGCUGCCGUGAGUUGCGGGAGUUGAAAGACCAGCUACAAGAGCUGUUUGAUAAAGAUUUUAUUCGACCUAGUGUUUUGCCAUGGGGUGCACUAGUUUUGUUCGUGAAGAAAAAGGAUAGAAGUUUGCAACUGUGUAUUAACUAUAAGGAGUUAAAUCGGAUCAUAGUGAAGAAAAAAUAUCCAUUAUCUCGUAUUGGUGACUUAUUUGACCAGCUAUAGGGUUUCUAGAUUUUCUCAAAAAUUGACUUGUGGUCGGGCUACCACCAGCUGAAGAUCAAGGUUGAAGAUAUUCCCAAGACAGCUUUUAGGAUGCACUAUAGGCAUUAUGAGUUUCUUGUGAUGCCGUUUGGGUUGAAAAAUGCUCCAGUCGCAUUUAUAGACCUAAUAAAUCGAAUCGUCAAGCCCUAUCUAGACCAGUUUAUAGUGGUGUUUAUUAAUGACAUACUUAUUUACUCGCAGAGUGCAAAGCAGCACGAGCAGCACAUUAGAUUUUUUAUUGUGUUCCAAAUUCUGCAAUGAGGUUCCAGUUUUGGUUCAUUCGAACGUGGACUAUGAUUCGUUGCAAAUUUACACUAUUGGUGCACAAUUGAAUAAUCUCAUUACGUUUUACACUUUGUUCGAUUGCAUGAUAAUUUGUAUUCUUUGUAAAUUUAUACUGUCAGGGCGCAGGAGAAUAGUCUACGGAGGUUCCAGUUUCGGUUCAUUGGAACGUGGACGUCGAUUCGUUGCAAAUUUACACGUUUGGGGAAUAAUGGAACAACUAAUGAGGUUUUGCUCUUUGUUCGAUUGAAUGAGAAUAUGUAUUCUUUGCAAAUUUACCCAGCUAAGGCGCAGUAGAAUAGUCUAAUGAGGUUCCAAUUUUGGUUCAUUUGAACGUGGACUACGAUUCAUUGCAAAUUUGCACUCUUGGAGCACAAUAGAAUAACCUAAUUACGUUUUACUCUUUGUUCAAUUGAGUGAGAACGUGUAUUCAUUCCAAAUUUAUACUGUCAGGGCACAGGACAAUAGUCUACUGAGGUUCCAGUUUCGGUUCAUUUGAACGUGGACAUCGAUUUGUUGCAAAUUUACACUCUUUGGGCAUAAUAGCACAAUCUAAUGAGGUUUUACUCUUUGUUUGAUUUAAUGAGAACAUGUAUUCGUUGCAAAUAUGUAGUACUCUGAACUGGGCAAAUUGCGAAGUUCGAGAGUGGAAUUGACAAUUGGAGUUAACCCACAUCUUUUAAAGAGUGGUAGUGAAGUUUUUGAUAAGCCAUAUGAGUGAUUGGACUGCCGGAAGUAGGAAAGUGCAUUGCAAAAUACACUUUUCUGCAUUCUGCACUAGGUACCGGUACCAGAUCGGGUACCGGUAUCAAAUGCAAACUGCUGCGUGGCAACAGGAUGAUUUUGGUCUUUUUGGCAUUCAAUCUUAUCCCCUCAGGCCCCUGUACAACCCCUGAAGCUACUUGAAGGUUACUAGAGCUCAAGGGAAGGGAUUUGUAUCUCAUUCACUUUCUCUCUCUAGAUUUUUUUCUCUCUCUAAAAGGGAUCAAGGUUUUGAGCUCAUUUUUCUUCUCCUCUUGUGUGUUUGCUGAUUUGGAGGACUUAGAGCAGCUGUGGGGAAGAAGAAAAGUGGUCUUGGGAGAGGGUAUUCGCAGCUCUAGUUCUGUAGGAAGUUGAGUUACAGCUGGGUGAGGUGAACUACUCAACUUUCCCUUAGUUGAUGCUAUAGUAAUAAAGUUGAUGUGGGUUCUUGGUCUCUUGUCACAGCCGAUUUUGGGAGGUACUCACCAGAUGUACCAAGGGAUAUUUUGCUAAAUUUCAGCCACCUGGAACUAGAGAAAAGCUGGAAUAAAGGUUGGAAAAUGAUUAGCCAACUACUUACCUUGUUUUGUUACUAUACUAAGUGUAUUAGUUAUAGUUGUGAUGCAGUUGGGAGGUGGAUUCACAAUAGAUUUUUAUGAACCUUAGGACUGAACUUUGGGUGACCUUUAAAGCUGAUUUAGGGGUACUUCAACCAACUGGAAAGUGGAAUCCAAGUUUGGGAAUUUAAACAAGUAAGAUUCAGCCUAUACUAUGUACUUAUAUGGGAAUACUAAUGCCGUUUUUGAUGAUUGGUUGCAGCAGGCUCACAACUGGUGUGGGACCUCUUGACUGGGAUUUUGAUGGUCAUUAAAGGUUAGAAUUAGUGUAUUCUAACCUAAAGUAAAGUGGAAGUAAUCUUGGAUCAGUAUUAGAUGGGAAUUUUAGCCUAAAUGGAGUAAUUAUGUGAAUUUGGUAUACUUUAAUGUGGAAAUAGGAAGUAAACUCCUAGCUGAUUUCAAAUUUCAUGCUAGGGUGCUUGGAGACUUCGAUUUACCUUUGCUUGCUGGUUCAACAGGAUUUGACGUGUAUUGGUGGGUUCGACCUCACCGGAAUAAGUGGUUUCCCUAUGUUCUUUAUGAUACUAUAGAAUUGCUAGUUAUGGGUAACCAUGAUAAUAGAUUACUAAAUGAAGAGUAUUUGAGAUAACGAGCAUACUUGUUUUAUGCGACUAAAAUAGACCUCUAUUGAGUAGAUAUUCGGGGGCAAAUAUCUUGUAUUGCAUAUAUGCAGUUAACAUUCAGUAUAGAUGCAUUAACAAUGAAAUAGACUUGACAUUCAUAAGCUGGUAGGUUAUGAAAGGUUGGAUUGACAGAAUAGUAGUAAUUCGAUUAGAUGACUUUAUCAUACUUCUAUGAAGUAGAGAACAAGGCAUUAAAUCUAUAACUUGGAAAAUAGUAUCUUUGUAUAGAUAAGUUAUGAAUGCAAAGGGCAUGUGUAAACUAGCAUCAGUUUCAUAUGGUUGUAUAAUCCAGUGACACUAGUAUGUUAUAUUGUGUUUAAACUCCGACCUAUAGGUCGGUAGAGGUUGUUCUAUAUUUGAGACAUGAUGAUUGAGGACCUUGUACUUGGGUCAUGCUUGCUUGCCAUUGUGCUCAUUCGCACAUGCUUGUGAGGGUCGCUCCCUACAAGGCGGCACUCUGGAGUUGGCCUACGUGACAGAUUGCUCACCCGUGCGGGAUUGGGUGUCGAAGUGGAUUGCCGUGGGGAGUGUUUACUACCACGGGGCUAUUAGGCGCGGUGCAAGCUGAACUACCUUGUGUAGAUCGCUAUGAAUUAAACAAAUUGCUAUAUUGUAUUGCUAAUAUUCUCUAUUUGAUAGUGUGCAUUCAUGAGAAUAUGUAGCAUGCCUACUUGUAUAGUAUAGCCUUUACUUGCAUAUCGUGAUUGUGAUAUUGGAAACCAAGUCAUUUUAAUAUCUUCUAGCUGUAUUAGCAUUGUUAUUUCUUUCAUGCUAUAGAUAUACUUGUUUUCUUUCCUUACAUCAUAAACCUGGUGGUGUAAUCCGCUGAGGUCGGCGGCUUGCCCACUGGGAACUAUUGCUUAAUAGUUCUCACGCCCUUUUGUUGUUGUUUGUCUACAGAGCCAUCCACUACGGGAGAGGCUAGGGAUCGCGGCAAGGGGGUCGCAUCUAGGUAGGCAUAGCGUGGAGUCCUGCUAGGUGAUCACCUCGCUAUUCUGAGUUUGCCGACAAGGAGGAUGUGUACCUAUGUAUAGAGAGACUACCAGGUGUUUAUAUAGUUCUUUUGGCGACCCUGAGGUGUAUAUGUAUGGUUAGAGUGAUGUAAUUACAGUUUUAUGUUUCUACUUCUUGUUGAUCUUGGUGAAGUUUAUAUCUAUAUCCGCUAGCUGGUAGUACUUUUGGUAUAUUUUGUACAUACUUUGCUCUAAUACCAUGUUAGACUCUUUGGCUCAUUGUUACUUUUCUAGCAUGGUUUUGGUAGACGCCUUGUAUACUGUAGGAAUAUGGCAGGUCUGUGCAUGUAUCGGGAUGUAUCGGGUAUGCUUCCGCUGAUACCCGGGCGUGACAAAAUAUAUACUAUUAGGGCGCAGAAGAAUAGUCUAAUGAGGUUCCAGUUUUGGAUCCUUUAAACGUGGACAACGAUUCGUUGCAAAUUUACACUCCUGGGGCAUAAUAGAAUAAUUUAAUGAGGUUUUACUCUUUGUUCAAUCAAAUAAUAACAUGUAUUCGUUGCAAAUUUAAACUGAUAGGGCGCACAAGAAUAGUGUAAUGAGGUUCCAGUUUUGGUUCAUUUAAACGUGGACAUCAAUUCGUUGCAAAUUUACACUCUUGGGGCAUAGUAGAACAAUAUAAUUAGAUUUUACUUUUUGUUCGAUUGAAUGAGAACAUGUAUUCAUUCCAAAUUUAUACUGCCAAAGGCACAGAAGAAUAGUGUAUUUAGGGUCCAGUUUUGGUUCAUUUGAACGUGGACAUCAAUUCGUUGCAAAUUUACAUUCUAGGGACAUAAUAGAACAUUCUAAUUAAGUUUUACUCUGUGUUCGAUUGAAUGAGAACAUGUAUUCGUUGCAAAUUUAUAAUGUUAGAGCGCUGGGGAAUAGUCUAAUGAGGUUCCAAUUCUGGUUCUUUUGAACAUGGACAUCGAUUCGUUGCAAAUUUACACUCUUGAAGCAUAAUAGAAUAAUCUAAUUACGUUUUUCUUUUUGUUUGAUUGAAUGAGAAGAUGUAUUCGUUGCAAAUUUAUACUGUUAGGGCGCAGUAGAAUAGUCUAAUGAGGUUCUAGUUUCGGUUCUUUUGAGCAUGGACAUUGAUUCGUUUCAAAUUUACACUCUUGGUGCUUAAUAGAACAAUUUAAUGAGGUUUUACCCUUUGUUCGAUUGAGUGGGAACAUGUAUUCGUUCCAAAUUUAUACUGUCAGGGCACAGGGGAAUAGUCUACUGAGGUUCCAGUUUCGGUUCAUUUGAACGUGGAUAUCGAUUCGUUGCAAAUUUACACUCUUUGGGUAUAAUAGAACAAUCUAAUGAGGUUUUACUUUUUGUUCGAUUUAAUGUGAACAUAUAUUUGUUGCAAAUAUAUAUUGUUAGGGCGUAGGGCGUAGAAAAAUAGUCUAAUGAGGUUCCAGUUUCAGUUCCUUUGAACAUGGACAUCGAUUCGUUGCAAAUUUACACUCUUAGGGAAUAAUAGAACAAUUUAUUGAGGUUUUACUCUUUGUUGAUCAAAUGAGAACAUGUAUUCGUUGCAAAUUUAUACUGAUAGGGCGCACGAGAAUAGUGUCGUUGCAAAUUUAUACUGAUAGGGCGCACGAGAAUAGUGUAAUGAGGUUCUAGUUUUGGUUCAUUUGAACGUGGACAUCGAUUCGUUGCAAAUUUACACUCUAGAGACAUAAUAGAACAUUCUAAUGAGGUUUUACUCUUUGUUCGAUUGAAUAAAAACUUUUAUUCGUUGCAAAUUUACACUGUUAGGGCGCUGGAGAAUAGUCUAAUGAGAUUCCAGUUUUGGUUCAUUUGAACGUGGACAUCGAUUCGUUGCAAAUUUACACUAUUGGGGCAUAGUAGAACAAUAUAAUUAGGUUUUACUUUUUGUUCGAUUGAAUGAGAACAUGUAUUCGUUGCAAAUUUAUAAUGUUAGAGCGCUGGGAAAUAGUCUAAUGAGGUUCCAGUUUCAGUUCUUUUGAACGUGGACAUCGAUUUGUUGCAAAUUUACACUCUCGAAGCAUAAUAGAAUAAUCUAAUUACGUUUUUCUCUUUGUUUGAUUGAAUGAGAAGAUGUAUUCGUUGCAAAUUUAUACUGUUAGGGCGCAGUAGAAUAGUCUAAUGAGGUUCUAGUUUCGGUUCUUUUGAACAUAGACAUCGAUUCAUUUCAAAUUUACACUCUUGGGGCUUAAUAGAACAAUCUAAUGAGGUUUUACCCUUUGUUCGAUUGCUAGGGCUUCAAAAAGAUAUUUUAUGCUUAGCCAUGUUUUAGAGACACCCCACAUCUUAUUUAUAUGUUUAGAAGACAUUAGAAAUAGAUUAAGAUUGAAAAAAUCAUAUUUGGAAACUCAAAACCAUAUUUAGAAAACUAACGUAGGGUUCAGGGUCCGGACCUUGAAAGUCCUGACCUUGCCUGCACGGUCCUGACCUUGACAGCCUACCAGCCAAGAAGGCUUACGGGUUUCGGACCUUGCUUUCAGGGUCUGGAACUUGAAACUUGGAAAACUUAAUUUUUAUAUUUUAAAUCAUUUUUUAUCUAUUCUAAUGUCUUCCAAACACUUGUAAAUGAUCAUAAAUCAUCAUCAAUAUUAUUCAAACUUACCAAGCAUUGUGGAUUCAUGUUUUGAGUCUUCGAGUCUUCGAUUUUCAUCUUUUCUUCUAUAAACCUUCAAGACUCUGACUUACUUCACAAAAUAUGCCAACUUAAAAUCCAUAACAGUGGAAGCAUGGCUGAGGCCCACAAAUGCUAUUGAGGCGCAGCCUUUUGAGCCUAGCUAGCUAUUAUAGGUGGUUCGUAGAGAGGUUCUCGCAGAUAGCAGUCCCUUUGACGUGGUUAAUGCAAAAAAGAGCAAAAUUUGUGUUGACCGAUGUGUGUGAGGAAAAUUUUCAAGAGCUAAAGCAUGCUUGGUCACGGCUCCUAUCUUGACCUUAUGUUAAGGGUGAAGGCUUUAUCAUUUACAAUGAUACAUCCCUAUAAGAUUUAAGGUGUGUAUUAAUGCAAAAUAAUUGAGUGAUCGCUUAGUGUAGCAUACCGAACUUUUAUAAUUGUGAAGUUUCGGUGUAUGUUGGUUUGGAAAGCUAUUAGAAUGGUUCCGGUGAAGUUCGGGAGCAUUCGGUUGUUUUCGAUACGCGUCAGGCGCGAAAACAAAACCCGAAAAGCUAUGAUUGGACCUUGGCCUAAAUCUGGCAAGGCGUGGUUGAAAAGAGGGUUUAAACGCGCUCGAAAACAUGUUUUGGGGUCUCGGUACGAUUAGAGAUGAAUCGGAGGCCCAACGAGCGAAAACGAAGCAAAACGGAGAAGAAACGAAAAAAUGCUGAAAUUUGGCUAAGUCCUUAAAAUUACUGGGCUGUCUGGACCUACGGGGUCCAGACCUUGGUUUUAGGGUCCGGACCCCAAGAGCGAAAAAUGCCUAGUUUGGGCUGAUGGCAGUUUUGUAAUUAGGGGGAACUUUAUGUAUAAAGGGGCUUCUUCUCCCUUUCAUCUUCCUCCUCUCUUCACAGCCACCCCACCAUUGUUUCUAGAGAGAGAAGCUCCUCUCUCUCUCUCUCUAGAUAUCUCUCUCCUCUCUCAAGAUCUAUCUCCCAAAGUUGGGAUUUUGGAGGAGAAGGACCUUGCGAAUGCGUGGGAGGCGACGGUGCGGGCCCUCGUGCGCCCGUUUGAGCGGGGUGGUUCCGUCUCGGCGUUCAUAUUUUGGUAAGCUUUUGGGAUUUGGUUUAAUCCUUAAUGCUUAGUGUGCUAAUGGUCUCUAGUAUAGUUCUAACAUGUUUUCUCCAUGAGAUUUGGACUAUUUUGGGAAUAUGAGGAAGCUAGGGCUUAGAAAUGGGGGUUUUGGGUUUGUUGGGGUUUUGAUCUAUUUUAACCCCAUAUUUCUCUAAUUGAAGGUUAGAGAUGAGCCCCUAAUGACUCUAAGUUGAGAAUCGACAAGUGUUCGGUGACCAUUUGCGAGUACGGGUCGAACCGGACAACGAGUGCCGCGGGCGGCCGAUUGCAAGUGUCGACAAGCAAUCGGAAAGCGAUUUGAGGUGGGUUGUGCUCACCGAAGUUAUUAGCUCGCUUCCAUGUCGAAGCGAAGUGAGAGUUGUUGUUGAUGCAUGUAUGGUAGUUAGUUGUAAAACAUAUGAAUGCUAUGUUAGACUACCAUUGGAUGCAAGAGUACCUAAUGUAGAAAUACUAGAUGAAAUGCAUAUAUGUAUAAUUGGUAGGUUGAAUAUGAUAAUGUGGAUGCAUGAAUCCUAUUAUGCUUGGUUUUUAUUACCUACCAUUGAGAUGGAUGCAUAAUGAACAUAUUGUAGAAAUUCUAGAUGACAUGCAUGUUGAAAGGUUAUAGCCGGUGCUAGAUUCAUGUAGAUGUGAACUUGGUCGAUAACUCUAGGUUGAUUAGAGAAGUUGACAUUGGAAAACAAGAGCAUGUGGGCUAUAUAUAUUACUCGAAACGUGUUAAGGAUUCUUAAAGUUGGCGAAUUUUGUAAAGUCGAAUGGAGUCUUGAAGAGUUAAAAGCGAAGUUUUUGAAAAGAAGAUUCAAUUUGAAGAUCAAAGACUCAUUUGGGAAGCUCGACACCUCAGGUAUGCAAGAUAGAUCAUUUGUGGUGAAUCUAAAAGUUCAAAAUGUAUUUAGAAGACUUAGAUUGCCUUAAUGUUUUAAAAUAUUUCAAUCUGAGCUUUUCAAGGUUCAGGGACCGGUCCCUGAUCAGAAGGACCGGUCCCCGUAGGUCCUCCGUGCAUAUUCAAGCAAUGCAAUCGGUCCCCGAGCUGAGAGACCGGUUCCCGUAGCUUCGGUUUUCAACUACGCAACGAGGGACCGGUCCCCGAGAUGAGAGACCAGUUCCCGUAGCCUAUGUUUUCAGCUACGCAUCGAGGGACCGAUCUCCACCUGAGAGGACCGGUCCUCCAAGGACCGGUCUCCUCGAGAGCACCGGUCCCUGAGGACGACAUAAGUUUUUAAAAUUGUGUUUUUGAAAUCCUAGUCUAUCUAGAAGUCUUCUAAAUCUAUAAAUAAGCUAUGAGGGUUACAUUAUGCUUAAGGCUCAGAAUUUAGACCAUCAUAAACCCUAGAAACUUGUUUUUCGAGCUUUAUGAUUCAAUUCUUAAAGCAAGUUUCAAUUCAUUGAUCGUCGACUUGAUUCUAAGGUUUUAAUUUGAAUGUUUCUUUGAGAAUCAAGUUUAUGAUUGACUAAAAGGAAUUCCUCAAAGCUUAUGGUUUUCUAAGUUUCAAUCACCACAAACUAUCAUCUCUACGCGCUUCGGAUGGAGGAUUUGCGCGAGGAUCGCUUGUGAAGGCCGUGGAUUCGGUGGGCGUUUCGUGGAGUCGAGGCGUGUUUGCUGCGAGGACUUGCGGCGUGAUCGGUUGGAGGAUUCCAAGCGAUCGAGGACCGGCAAAGACAAUCUACAACGAGGAUUCGGUAAAUUGAGUUGUGUAUUUUCGUUAAAUCACCUGCACUUAAGUUUUCUUAGUGGAUUUUCUUUGCGUGAUCGGUCCCGUGGGUUUUUCUCUCCGGAUUGGAGGUUUCCCACGUUAAAAUUCGGUAUGUUGAUUUUAUUUUUCGCAUUCUCUUUUAAUUUGCAUCGAGUUUAUUUGGUUUUGCCAUUUACACCUAUUCACCCCCCCUUCUAGGUGUUAUUUACCUUUUAGAUCCUUUGGAUCCAUAUCUUUCAAGUGGUAUCAGAGUGGGUAUAGGUUGUAAACUAUGGCCGAGGGAGGUAACAUUAAUCGACCACCUCUUUUUGAUGGCACUAAUUACGCUUAUUGGAAAGUCCGAAUGAGAGCGUUCCUUAUUGCCAUUGACGAGAGGGUUUGGAAAGCUAUUGAAUUCGGAUGGAAACAUCCUACUGAAGUAGUCGAUAAUGUUACGGGUCCCAAACCUAGAAAUAAGUGGACGAAAGAGAAAAUGAACUAUCUUCGUUCAAUGGGAAGGGUAUCAAUGNACAACCACUACACUACCACUAGCAUGCAUAACGUGUAAUAACCAUCUAGCACCCUAUAAUGCAAAAACUCAAUAUGCAGACUUGAUCAACAAUACACUUAGACAUAGGGAGCAGUUCAACUGCUUCGGGAUAGUCACCACCCACCUCUUGGCGAUGUCGUGACUCGUGGAAUGGAGCUCGGUGACUCUAGGACGCCACUUUGGCACUCCGAAGGUUGGUCACACGAGAAGGCAGUAGCUAGCUGUCUGCAGGCGGUCUCGGGUGAGUCGAGCGGCUGGGACUCCUCACCUAUGCGAUUGAGUCGUGAGAUUGAGGGCGAGCCUUCGGGCUAGCCGAGUGAUUGGGUGAUCUAAUAAAUAACAUCGUUGUUGAGCAUCGUUGUUGUUUUCAUUCAUGUCUACAUAUCUAUCUAUCUAUCUGUCUACCUACUUAUGCCUGCUUAGACCUAGUGGGAAGAUUGGCGGAGUAGGCGGCCGAACCCACUGGGAACUAUAAACAAUAGUUCUCACCCCACCUUGUUGCAGGGCCGAGUACGAGCGCAUCGGUCGAGGAUCAUAGUAAGGGCUUAGCGCCCUAGUGGUUGUAGAUACUUCCUAUUUUGCAUUAGUGGUCACCUUAUAUACAUGAGAGUAGAUGAUGUAUAGAUGUGAGAUGUUUUGGAAGAUUGUAAACUUUAUGUUUAUGUUUUGGAAGAAUGUAAAGUUAAUCAAAUGUAUUAAAGAGUUGAAUGGAUGUAAUAGUUAGAGUAUCUCUAUUUUGUUCACUUGUUUAUCCUCGUGACACUUGCUCUUAUUUGUUUAGCACUGGUUGUGCUCUCGCUGUGGUUGUUGAUUGUGUAUGUAUUUCAAGUUGUUAUUCCUGGGCACUUGUUGUACACAAUCUUGAUGCUUAGCCUUGGGCAGACAGCGGAGGUGCUGUCCAUCCGGCGUCUGUUCAACGCGCCCGAACCAGACCAAAUUGGUAGCGGUCUCGGGGCGUGACAGUGGUAUUAGCCACUAGGAUGUACAUGGGUCGAGCCUAAAUAGGUCAACAGUUUAGGGUUGCAGAUGACCCUUGAGAUGAGAAAAUGGAUUCUGGAAUCCCUAGUGAUGUGGCCGCAAAAGAAGCUGUGGAAACUUGUGGCAGAAUGUAAGUGAAUCAGAACUGCGGGUAUGUGUGGUUCUCUUCGCCCAACAGUGAUUCAACGGGUAUGUGUGGUUCUCCUCACCCGGUGUAAACUUGAAAUGGGUAUGUGUGGUUCUCCUCGCCCAUUUAGCUUAUUGGAUGAUGUCGCUAGGAUUGACUUGAGCCAUUGUUGGGUGUGUGCGAUGCGUUCGCCGCCAGAUGGCUAAGCCAAGGAGUGCGGUGGGCUGUUGUAGCAGCCAGGCUGUGGCAGAGAUGCAGCCAGUGUGCAGUAGUCCACAGAAGAUUGACUCGAGGCCGAGUCGGGUGGAUAGCUUGGUUAAGGUAGAGGAAACCUUAAAGGCUAGUGAUAAAUGGCAUGAUCUAAGGCGGUAGAGACCUUAGAUACUAGUUGGACUUGAGCUGUGGAACUAAGGUAGUGAAAACCUUAGAGCUAGUUGAUAUGAGCUAUGGAUAGCAGGAUUGAAAGUAGUAUCAAUUGAUCUACUAGUUGACUGCAUAGUUGCAUAAUUGCAUGAUUUAUAUAUUGCAUGUUGAGAGGCAUAACAUGUAUUUUUGUAUUGCAUAAAUAUCUGUGGAUAUCUGUUGGACUAACAUGUUGCAGUGCCUCCUUCGGACCUGGCGGGUCGAGCUUUUCCCUUGGGUGGCUGUACUCACUGGGAACUAUGGACAAUAGUUCUCACCCCACGUUGUUUUGGGGUUACAGAUUCACACGCGAGCGGCACGGCGGCGCGAGGAAAGGGCAUAGCUCCGUAGAUAGCGCCCUACCAUUGGACCAAAGAUAGUGGUACCCCGAGGUGGUCUAGCUUAGGGGUGUAGAAGUGAAAGAAACAAACUUGUAAUAAUAAUUGUAAUAAUCGGAUUGUAAUUGGGGGUUAAUAUGAUGUAAGAAUGCAAGUGAGCUGAAUGCUUGUAAUAGCUUAGGUGUUUUAUGUUUUUGAUACUUCCUUAUGCAAUCUGUAUGUUGAAUACUGUUCCUAGUUGAAACCUCUUGUAUUGUAUUGAUUGCGACGCUUAGGACGUACAGAAAAAACUCUGUUCGUUCGGCGGUCUGUUAGCGGGCCCGAACCUAACCAAAUAGGCGGGUGGCUGGGCGUGACAGAUAAAGUAGUAUCAGAGCAUAAAGUAGAGAAUGGAAAUGGUUUAGACGGACCUAGGAAACCCUAAAAUAGUAAACCAUAGAGAAUAAGGCUCGUGAGAGACGAGGACUUGUGAUUAGUGGUGAAAGGUUAAUGGAUUGGGUUGUGUUAUAAACCUCUAAGACGGAUAUUAGAGGUAGACUCGAGGUGUGGUUUAUUCUCAACCAAGGGUGUUCAUGUUGGGCGCGCACAACAUGAAACCGAGUGAUGAGAAUAAGCGCCCUUGCGCGACUUUCGCCUGAUUUGAGUCGAUGUUAAUUGUUUUGUACUCGACCUAGAGGGUCGAGAGCUGAUCGAGUUGUCCUAUUUCAGGAAGCGAUGGCACCGCAUAGGCGAUCUUCAUCCAGAUCGGCGCGGGAGGGGACAAGUGGUGUCCCUGAGCAAACCGACACAAGCGGAGACUCCGAACUUCGUGAUCAGUUGGCCACACUCGUUUGAGUGGUGAGGCAACAAGCAGAUGUGACGCAGCGUCAGCAGGAGGCUGUCAUGCGCCAGGAUGAGCGAAUGAAAAGACUCCAAGAGAUGGUAGAUCAGCUCGUGACUGCACCAGUUUCGGCUCGUCAAGUACGGCCGAGAGUCGCGGCGGAGGUAUUUCCGUCGGGGUCGGGCAACCCGACCUUUAGCUUUUCAGAGGUAGAGGCGGAGAGAGAGCAGGCUUUGGCAGCUCUCAUAACCUUCAAGAAAUUUGAUCCGCCUACCUUUGAUGGAGAGGAUGCAGAUCCGUGGACUGUGGAGAUGUGGAUUGACUCCAUGGAAACUCUCUUUGAGAAUCUGUACACUUUGGAGCGGGACAAGGUACACCUAGCCGUGCACUAUCUGAAACAGUCGGUGAAGGUGUGGUGGAAAGGCGUCAAGUGGAAUCGAUCGCCUAGUCCCCCUCCUAUGACUUGGGAAGAGUUUCGGGAUUGAUAUUCUCUGCCUAUUUCCCCGACAGUGAAAAGAGAAAGCUUAAGGAAAGAUUCCGGAAGCUGCGGCAAGGAAACCGCUUGGUCAGGCAAUACGAGUGAAAAUUCUCCCGUGUCGUGAAUUGUGUCCCGAACGUGGUGCGGGAUGACAAAGAUAUGGCCAAUUGGUUUGAGCGUGGACUUCGGCCAGACAUUUACAAGGCUGUGAACAUACUUAAGUUGCAGACAUUUGCCGAAGUCUUGGAUCGGGCCUUGUGGGCGUAGCAAGGCAAUGCUUUCGUGCGUGAGGAGCGUGAAGCUUCUGAACGUGAGGGGUGAGACCAUUGUCGAGCGGUUCGGGUGGACAAUCAAGUUCUAGGCACCACUCGAAAUCGUCCUCUACCCGGUCCUCCCCAGGAUGCGUGAUUUGUGGUGGUUCCCGCUGGGCUCGGCGGUGUGUGCUGCGCGAUGGAAGGUGCCUUCGUUGUGGGCAGCCGGGCCAUGUGCGGGAUGAGUGUCCGCAAGGGUAUGACCAGAUCCUGACACCGGCGACGACCUUCUCCUCAUCGGGACAGCCUGUAGGUGUGCCACCUGCGGCAUGAUCGGAAGAGCGGCCAUUGAGGGUGAUGCAACCGAGGGGUUCGCGGCGGGCGGCAAGUAGCCAUGGAUACGCGACCCGGGUUGUGGGACCUGCUGCUACUGACGAUGCCAUAGCAGGUAUGAAUUAAUUGAGCAAGCAUAUGCUUCUGCAUGAUGUUAAGUUGGUGCAUUGCAUAUAUUUAUCGAGUGGUCAGUUGCUACUAUUUAUGCAUUAGUAUAGUAGGGACCAGUGGACGGGUAGGUGUGGGUACCCGGGCAUGCUUGUGUGAGAGAGUAUAGCGUCUGCUGGAGCAGGUAGAGAAUCGGAUGACACUAGUGAAUUGCUAGUAAUGAUUUUUGGACAAGAAAUGAGACUCGUGGUAGAGAUAAAAUGGUGAAGCGACUUUCAAGGCAAUGAGUAGUUGAUUGCGAGAGUUGAGCCAUGACAUUGUAAACAUCCGAGUGUUUCGGAUGUAGUUCCGGUAGAUUGAACAGUGAAAGUAGAUCACUUUUGAGAGAGCGGUUGGUUGGUUGCCGAGUACGGGCACGUGGACCUAGUAGUACCUCGAAUUGAGGUGGGUGAGUCGUGCUCGUGUGGUCGCUGUGCGUAGGCAAGGUUGGCUAAUGUGGACUUGGUGUGGAACGCUAUAGAAGCGUGUGACGCUCGAAUGCAGAUACUCGUAGAGUGCGGAUGUGGAUUUAGCCGAGAGAGUGAGUUGGCAAUAGCACUUCAGUAUUGCUAAGUGUGAAGCGGGCCAUGGAUCACUCAUAGGGCUGGUAGCUCGCACUGGGUGCUUAGGAGCCGAUAGUGGUACGUAUGACUCGGUAAAGCAUGUCGUGUAAGACGACGACGACGGGUGUUGCUUGAGGACGAUCCGUGCCUGGACCAUUUGUAGACUGUGGAGCCUGGGGCCUUACGGACAAGCAUAGUCAGCUGUGUAGAACAGCGGCCUAGUACCUACGGGUAGGGCAGAUGUUUGGUCAGGACGAUAGUCCGAGCUUAGACCCGGGAGCGUGGAAUGCCACGUGUUAGAUCGUAUGAUCGAUGAUACACCGAGUGUGUAGUGACCCAACCCGAGGAUUUGUUGUGGUUUGGGGUCAUGGUUUCUCCUGAUUGGAGUGUGUGCGAAUUCCUAAGUGAGAAUUUCGCCAGUGAUUAAUGGGUCUACGCUUGCGACUGAGAGACGCUAUGCGUAGUUCAGAAAGGUUUAGGCAGUAGGCUUGUGUAGGAUCGGUGACCUUUGGUCUACCUUAUGGAAACCGAGAUAAGCGAUUUGGCCGAUAACUCUGUUAGUGAGUUUGGCUUGGGUUCGCGAACCGAGUGUUCGUGUGAAUUUGUUGCAAGAACAAAUUGGUGUUGGCUGUGGCAAUCGAAAAAGAGAGUAAAGUGGUCUCUAGGAGACACUUGGAUCAUGGAUAGCCAUGCGGAAGUUGAGGAUAAUGCUCUCUUGAGGGUUGACAUUGGAGAUGUGCCGAAGUGUACCAUCUCGUAGUAGAGCAAAGACCGGAACUAACAUGUUGAAGGGCCUCCUUCGGACCUGGUGGGUCGAGCUUUUUCCUUGGGUGGCCGUACACACUGGGAACUAUAGACAAUAGUUCUCACCCCAUGUUGUUUUGGGGUUACAGGUUCACACACGAGCGGCGCGGCGACGCGAGGAAAGGGCGUAGCUCCGUAGAUAGCGCCCUACCAUUAGACCAGAGAUAGUGGUACCCCGAGGUGGUCUAGCUUAGGGGUGUAGAAGUGAAAGAAACAAACUUGUAAUAAUAAUUGAAAUAAUCGGAUUGUAUUUGGAGGUUAAUGUGAUGUAAGAAUGCAAGUGAGCUGAAUGCUUAUAAUAACUUAGUUGUUUUAUAUUUUUGAUACUUCCUUAUGCAAUCUGUAUGUUGAAUAUUGUUCCUAGUUGGAACCUCUUGUAUUGUAUUGAUUGCGACGCCUAGGACGUACAGGGGAAACUCUGUCCGUUCGGCGGUCUAUUAGCGGGCUCGAACCCGACCAAAUAGGCGGGUGGCGGGGCGUGACAUAGAACUUGCCGCAAUGGUGUUUACUCAUGAGGAUUUGGUGUCAUUAUUUUUAUGAAGAGUACUAUGAGUUCUACAUCGAUCAUAAAAACAUGAAGUAUCUUUUCACACAAAAAGAACUAAAUAUGCGACGGUGUAGAUGGCUUGAGUUUAUGAAGGGUUAUGACUUGAGUUUAUGAAGGAUUCAAAAAUAAAUUCAAAAAUUAAGAUUAAAAUUAAAUUUAAAUUUAAACUUUGAAUCAAAAAUUAAAAUAAAAAAAUUAAAGUUUGAGUCCAAAAUUAGAAACAGAUUUCAAGAAGUAGGUUUGAGCUACUUUUGAUUUUGGGCGUCGAAAAUCAAAAAACUGAUUCUAAAAAUCAGAAUCAGAUUUUGAAAACGAGAUUGCUAAACGCUCUAUUAAGCCGAAAUUUACUUUUGAGCCCAGAAUCACUUUUUAAAAGCUAGGCCAAACACCCCUUAAGAUACAGUAAUCGGUUAUGUGUUCCCAACGACGAGGCCUUAAAGAAAAAAGUCAUGGAAGAGGCUCAUUCGUCAGCUUAAACCAUACAUCCAGAUAACACAAAGAUGUAUCAUGACAUAAAAAGAGUUUUCUGGUGGGCUGGCAUGAAAGAAGACAUUGCUCAAUUUGUUUCACAAUUUCUUGUAUGCCAACAGGUCAGGCCUGAGCACCAAAGGAUGGCGGGGUUGUUGCAGCCGCUGCUAGUGCCCAAGUGGAAAUAGGAGAAAAUCACUAUGGACUUUGUAGUAGGGUUACCACGUACACAGUCAGGGUCUGAUGCAAUUUGGGUGGUCAUGAACCAGCUGACUAAGUCCACGCACUUCAUACCUAUUAAGGUGAGUUACAAUUUGGAGAAACUUGUGGAGUUACAUAUCGAAGAUAUGACGAGGCUACAUCGUGUCCUGAUAUCUAUUGUUUUGGAUCGAGUUCCAUGAUUUGUGUCGCGAUUUGGCAUAGCUUGCAUGAGGUUUUGGGGUCUUGCUUAGAUAUGUGUACGGCAUACCAUCCGCAGAGCGAUGGUCAAUCAGAUCUCACAAUUCAGAUAUUAGAGGAUAUAUUGCGAGCAUGCGCGAUUGAUGGAGUAGGUCGUAGGAUUGGCACUUACCAUUGGCGGAGUUUGCAUAUAAUAAUAGUAACCAAGCCAGCAUAUAGAUGUGUCAUGCCCCCAAACCCACCACUUUGGUCGGAUUCGAGCGCACCGACAGACCGCCAAACGGACAGAGUUUUCCAUGUCUGCCCAAAGCAUCACAAUCAGUACAAUUCAAGUGGUUCCAAAUAGGAACAGAAUUCAUACACCGAUUGCAUAAGGAAGGCAUCAAACAUAAGUACUAAGCUAUUACAAGCAUUCGUCACAUUUCACAUUUACUUUACAUUCUUUUUCCUUCUAAAUACAAUCAACUUUAUUACAAUUUUGUUUCUUUCCUUCCUAUACCCUAAGCUAUACCGACCGAGGGUACUUCUAUCUCUAGUCUCAAGUGGUAGGGCGCUCGCUAUCUACCGAGCUGCGCCCUUUUCCCCUGGCGCCGUGCCACUCACGUGUAGGCCUAAAAAACAUGGGGGUGAGAACUAUAAACAUAGUUCCCAGUGGGUACGGCCACCCAAGGAAAAAACUCGACCCACCAGGUCCAAAGGAGGCAACAUAAGCAAGUUAGUCCAACAAAUAUCAAUAUAUAAUUUAUGCAAGUAAUAAACAUCAUGAUUAUGCCUCACAAAAUGCAAUAUGAAAUCUAUGCAAAUAGAUCUACCAUUCCUACUUUCUAUUUCACGAUCCAUUGCAUUUACUAUCCGCUCCUAAGGUUCUUUUAUCUUAGCCAAGUUUUACCACUCGACUCGGUCUUGAGUCAAUCACCAGCGGAUUAUCGCUCACAUCCAGGGCUGAGGAGAGGAACCUGCCGUGCAUCUCAGCCUUCGAUCCACAUACCAAGGCGCCAGAUGGGCAGCGUAAAAGCUGCACACACCUGCGGUCACGGAUCCCCCAGUAGGAGAGGAACAUGCCGCAUACACCCACAGCCGGAAUCCUCGAUAGGGAGAGGAUGUAACAUAUCCAAUCCCUGUCGUGUGAUGCCGAGCUUCCGUCAAAACGAGCGGAACGCGGAUUCGGACGAGUUGGAACGGUCCGCAAAGUGUUUAAAGUGCUUUGGAAUGAGUUGCAUAGGGGUUGGAGGACCCAGGAGAGCUAGCUGGGAGAGUUGCAGCUCGAAAUUUGCAACUUUUGCUCUCGGGGUCCGGGCCCUGUGCAGGGUCCAGACCUCGUAGCCGAAAUUCGCCACAGCUGGCAACCCUGUUUUGGUGAAAGUAGAGGGGGUUUUUUUGCAUAUGUGUAAGUGUGUAUGUGUGUGUAUAUGUUGGAUGGCUUAGAGUUUAGCCUUCAUUUACUCUCACACCAACCACAUUAGGGUUUCCCUCUCUCUCUAAAACUUCUCUCUCUCUCCUUCUCUCUCUAGAGCUUGAGCAAGAGAGGCUUGUGGAGGGACUUUGGUAGAGAAGAAGACAAAGUUGAGGGUGGAGCUUGCAAGUGUGCAAAAGCUUGAAGGAAAACUUGGAACCAAAGGUGAGUUUCCAUGGUUUUAAGCUAGGGUUAAGCUUUUUCCUUCUAGCAUGAGUUCCUAGGAGGUAUAUUGGUGGUUUUGAGCAUGUUUCUCCAUGUAUUAGGGGUGUGUUUGGAGAAGAUGACAUUGUAUAGGGUUAUGUUAGGGUUUUGCUUAAAUAAGAUCUAAGUGAGGGAUUGAUCUCUUGUAACCCUAAUUGGUAGGUUUUCUGAUGCAUUGGUGAACUCGGUUCGGCGAUCCGACAAGUCUACACGGAGAAAUCGAGGAAAGGGCCUGUUUUGGCUCAGUUUUGCCGCAGUCGAAAGAAAUAGGCGCCUAAAAAUCACAAAACUUGGAUCGUGGUAUCUUGGCAUUCCUACAAGGUGGGGGGUGCUAUCCGAAAUCUCUGAAUUUUCUAUUAUGUAUAUGUUACCUUCAUUUGAGCAUAUAUGUAUAGUAGAAAUCAUGCAUUAUAGGGCUAUGAGAUAUGUGUUUAUGGUUGAGAAUCAUUUGUAUGCUUCUAGGCUAGAGAACAUAUGAAUUGAAAUGGACCAUGUGUGUUAGAAUCCUAUGAUUGUGUGAUGUGGACUAUGAAAAUAGUAAACAAAGGUGAUAUUGACAUUAGCGGGCAAGAUUUGCACCGAGAACGUGAAUGGCUAAACAAGGUUAAACCUAUUAUAGCAUUGUGGCAAGUGUGGCCUAAAUUAUUGUGACAUGUCAAACUAUGAUAUUAGUGAUAUUAUGACAUUAUGGAAAGUGUGGCCAAGUAAGUGAUAUUAAACCAGGUAAAAACCUAUUGUGACAUUGUGGUAUCGAGGCAAGAGUGGCCUUGGGCUUUGUAGCAUUGUGGCAUUGUGGCUUAUAGCAAGUGUGGCUAUGCGUUCUCAAAAUUGAGGACGAGACUAUACUCACAUUGGGUCUUGGCUUGAGGGCGGUAGCUCCCCCUCAAGCGGUGAGUUCCGGAAUUAACACCACGGGGAGAGCGGUCCACAAAGACGGUCUCUCGAGUGGUAGUGCUUGGAGCCUCCCCCAAUCGACAGGGAUUUUGGUUGUGAGUUUGGGGUAAACCAGGAGCACCCCGUGAUGAUUAGGUAAAAGCCAAGUGAAUGUAAAGCAUGCAUACAUUUAUCAUACAUAUGAUUAUCUAUCUAUUGAUCAAUUUUCUUGCAGGCAUUUUAAUAGCAUUAGGGUGGUUUGUUAUUUCCUUUUCUUUCAUUACAUAUGCCUGAAUAGACCUAGUGGGCGAGUCGGCGAGGUCGGCGGCCGAACCCACUGGAAACUUCUUUUAGUUCUCACACCACUAACCCUGCAGAUCCUAGCGUGAGUGGGGCGUCGAAGGAUCGGGGCAAGGGUAUAGCGCCGUAGUUAGCGGCCACCGGAGUUGUAGUCAUUUCCUAUAUAUAUAUUCAACUUUUGUAUGUUGAAUGAUGUUGUAUAAAUAAAUGAGAUGUAAUCCUUAUGUUUUGGGUUGGAUGACUAUGUCAUGUAUAUACAUGUAUGGAAAGAAGAGAAUGGAUGGAAUAAUUAUAGUUUACUUGUAUUUGGUUAAAAAUGUAAUUAAAUAACAUGUGUGUGGAAUGGUUUAGUUUAGUACAUAGUACUUUCACUUGUUGUUGGUUGUUGUUUGCCAUCGAGCAAACCGUGUAUAAUUGCAUUCAUUUUGUAUUGAAUUGCUAUUAUUGUACAUGUUGGUAGAGCCUUGGGCGGAUAGAAGAGGUGCUGUCCGUUCGGUGUCUGUUGACAUGCCCGAAUCGACCAAAUUGGCGGUAGCGGGGCAUGACAGAGGAACAUGCCAUAUACACCCCAGCGCACGAAGAUUCUUCCGGUGGGAGAGGAACAUGCCAUAUACAUUCGCGGCCAAGAAUCUUCCACAGUCACAACCCUCGAGGUUCUUGCGGUGGGAAAGGAACAUGCCGCCGCAUGCACCCACGGCCAAAAACUUCGACAGUCACAAGUCCUGGGAUUCCGGAGUUCACUUUUCAAGUCUCAAGGGUUAGUCACAUACCUUAUAUUGUCAAGUCAUUUAUGUCCUAGUGGCCAUCCUACCACUACAUUUUCAACCUAUAUUCAAUGACACUAAGUUCAAUGACAUUCUAAUACAAGCGGUCUUCCUACCACUAUGUUAUCCAACCUAUGUUUAAUGACACUAGGUUCAAUACCCAAUGAUGUUCUUUCUUUAUCCUAGUUGUCCACACCUCAGAUUCAUAAUUUCAUAACAUCUUGUCCUUGGUUUCAUAUUUGUUGAGUUCUCUAAUUUUUCUAGAGUUUAUCGACCUAUGUUCAUCAUCCAUAUCUAGGCAUAUAUAUAUGUAUAUAUAUAUAUCUGUAUAUAUAUACAUAUACAUGUAUAUGUAUACAUAUACAUAUAUAUGUAUGUAUAUAUAUACAUAUGCAUGUAUAUAUAUACAUAUGCAUAUAUAUGUAUAUAUAUACAUAUACAUGCAUAUAUAUAUGUAUAUAUAUACAUGUGUAUAUAUAUACAUAUAUAUGAAUAGUACCUAUAACUAUCGCAUGUUUACUACAUCGGUUAAUCUAUAUAUCUCACAGUAAUCCUACUGUAGUAUAUCCUCUCAUGCAUAUGUAUACUAGUAUACCAUACUAUAUGAUGAUAUCUAUACGAUCAUAUAAUGCAGUAUCCAUAUAAUACAGUGUAUUACUACUUUACAUGUAUAUAUAUAUACAUGUAUGUAUAUAUACAUGUAUAAUAUAUAUACAUGUAUGUAUAUACUAACUAUAUCAUAUAUACUACUACUAUCUAUAACAUACAUGUAUCGUACAUAUAUAUAUAUAUAUAUAUCCAUCCUAUAUGUUCUCUGUCAUGCCCCGGAGUCCCUUUUAGUUUGAAAAUACAGCGGAAGUGCCCUAAAUUUUUUUUUUUUUUAAAACCUAGCUCUCAGGGUAUGCCAGAUCCGUCAUAAAUACAAAGAAUCCAUUGUUCACACGAACAGAGUCUCCCCUGUAUUUGCACGGCGUUACACAAGUACAAGAUGUUCAAACAAAGUACAACCACCAUAAUGAAUAUACAACAUUAACAUUCAUUCACCAUUCACUACAGAUUUACCAUUCAGUGUUUAAAUAUAAAACCACAACUAUUAGUUAAAACGUUUCCUACCCGAAAACUGGUUUUGAAAUACUAAGUUACAAAAACCACGAGAAAACCCUUUUAAACUGUUUCCCACACGGAAACCUUUUUCUUUUUAAAACUCGCUACCACGAGGGGUAGAAAACCUUUCUAUUUUACAAAAAUCCACAAAUCUUUAUUAAAUUCAGAAAACCAACUGAAAUCUUGAAUAUUGUAACAUAAUAAAAUACUGAACCAUAUUAGCUGUCUAAGUUAUAUCAACAGAAAUAAAGGGGUUAGCAACUAAACCGAACAAACCGGGUCGGAAGGUCCAUCGACCGCUACAAACGUCUCACGUCUCGUCUAAACCCUCACCGCCCGCAAUUCGUGAAAAUAUGGUGGGGGAGAUGAGAACAUGUAACAUAUCUCCCCUCCCAGUGAGUACCGCAAGCCGACGAAGGCGAUAAGUGCUCACAGGAUCAGGAAGAGAUAAAUAGCAGUAUGGGUAAGUGAAAUACAGUAGCAACGAUAAUGAACGACUGAGAUAUAUAUAUAAAAGAACAACUACCGCUACUGUAACGAAGCAUUGAAAGCAUACAAGGAUAUCAAAACUAUAGUAGCAAGACAACUGUAAAGAAAGAACCGUAAGUAUACAUGCAACAACCACUACUAUAGCUAUAUGCGUCAACAGGACGAGAAGUCCAAAUAUACCUAAUCUGAAAUCUGUGCUCUGUUGGUCCGCACUGCAGACCUCAAGCGUGUGCCCACUGCCACUCUACCAUGCAUAUAACCCAGCCUAGGCCGCUGGGCUCACCGGUUGGCACAUCCAACUACUUUUUCGGAAAAGAACACCCUCUUGCGGUGGAUCAGACCGCUAGUGAUCGUGAAAUGCGAACGAGUCUCGGGCGAUCGAUGCUGAUAUGCUCAAUAGCCAACCGUCGGCAACCAGCCGACAAUCACAGUCCCUUGGGGCAAACCGACCAAUAGGUCAUCAAACUGUAAGGAAGCACAAGAACCGACCACUCAGGUCAACUAGGAUGGAACAACUCAACAUCCUCCCAAAAAUAUGCAAGUACUGAUCAAUAGGUCAACUAAAGUAUAUACGCAAGAACCAACAAGUCAUCUUAGUGUAUAAUCCAGAACUACUGUCAGCCACUAGCUGACAAUCCUACCCCUCAAGGUACACAGACCUCAAAGAUCAUCAAACGACAAGAGUCAAGAACUGACUGACUAGGUCACAAACAUGUCAAAUGGUGGAUAUGAGUAAACUAUAAUCAUCCGUCGGCAACUAACCGACAAUCCCACCCCUCAGGGUAUACCGACCUCAACGGUCAUCGGACAACAGAAGUCAAGGAACUGACCGAAUAGGUCACAAAUACGGGAUAAAGGAUAUGCAGAACAGCUAAGUAGAGCAACAAGGAAAUAUGGUAUAACUACUCUUCUCCUAUUCAUGAUACUAGAUAUGAAAAACUACAGAGUAGAGUAUAACCAAAAUAACAUGGGUACUAGGCUCAACACUAUAUAUCAAGAUAUAUAUAUGCUAGAUAAUAACGAAAGAGCAAAGGUAAGAAACCAUCACCGAGCAUGCACUACUGUACCGACUUCGGAUCGAAGCACCCACCUGUACGAAUAUCGCGCCUGUCUUCUGACUGCGAAAGAAUGUCAACCGGACCUAAGGAAGGUCCACCGGGUUAGAGUCUAACCCACACAUAGUAAACACUAAAGCCACAACCCCACAACUAAUCCCACAAAGAUCGGUUUCCUAAAACCGACUACCGUAACUCGCCGGGAGUCCCGAAACCGCACCAGGACUCCGCCGGGACCCACGAACUGUCCCGGAACUCACCGACUCAAGAUACAAGUCACCCGCUGCCACUAAACACAUAUUUACAUGUGACUUGGAAGCAAAGACCUUAACUCACUCCGAAACGAUUAUCAUCGGAUAAUCGUUCCGAUCCGGGUUCCCGAAAGUGUCUAAUUCGACACCGGAACCCACCGUCGCUCACCCGUCGUUUUCGGACACUCAAAACGACNAUGCGGGUGACCAGCCAAUAAGGCUCAGCGACAUCACAAAUCAUCACGGAGCACCGUCGGAAGAAUUCCGAACCGAAAAUGCGUUCUGUCGACGGAUUUUGCCGAAAAACGCUUCGGAAAUUACUUUUCGAUUUUCGCAAAGGCCUGGGGCCUUGGACGAUCAGUCCAGAGGUUACCCUUAGCCUACAUGUGCUACCAACAGCAGCCACGACAUACUAAAUUGCAUAAAAGCCCUCCCGCUAACAUGAAAUCGUGUUAUUUCAUGUGAUUUCUAGGCUUUUAUGGUCCGUCUACUCAAACCAGGGGUCAAUCAGCCGAGCCGAGACACCUGCUGACAGGUCUCGGCGUGCCAGAGGCCGUGCUCACCUUUCGGAGCACUGCCGGGCACUGUGGCACGCGCACGAGUGACGCGAAACUCAGCAAAAUAGCACGCAUAGCGCUAAGAUUGCAUCUAAAACACGAACCAGGGCACCGUUGACCCCGACGCAGGUGAGAACGACGUUCAGCACAAAACGACGAUGAUCGUGCUCACUUCCACAUUCAUCAGGGUGCCAUCAGAUCGCCAAAAAGGCGACCGAAACUCCAAACUAUAAUGCUGGAAGGAAAAAAUCAUGCUUACCUGGCCAGUGGGAGCUAGGGCUGGCCACUGGCGGCCGAACGGCGGGUGCUCCGGCCGGGGAAGGGUGCGGCCGAUCGGAGGGGUCCGGGAAAGGUGCUGGACGGCGGCGGGAAGCGGCCGGUGGCACGACGACUGAGAUCAACUCUACCACCUACUCUCGGGUUCAAGGGUUCCCGGCGGCAAGGCAGCUGCCGGAGGAGCCUCGGGGCGACGGCGCUCGGUCACGGCGACGGUGCGCGCUCAGAAACUGUACGGGUCCAAACUCGGCCCGCACGCGUUCAGGACGGCGGCAGAGAGCUCGGGCGGUGGCCGGCGGGAUGCAGGGACGGCGGGGAGGAGUGCGCGAGGUCGCCGGAGGUCGCCCGAGGGCGGCGCGGCCGAUGGGGAGCGGCGGCGGCGUGCGGAUGCAGAGAUCACCCAGGCUCGGCCUAGGUGACUGCAGGUGGCCGCAGAGAGCUGGGGUUGCUCCGGCGGCGUGCUUUGACGGUGGGACGGCCGGUGAUGGCGCCGGAGGGGAGUCUCGGCCAAGGGGAGUGCUUCCAGAUGGGUCUUGAAGCUUCCCUGCUUCUUCCCGCCAAGAGGGAGGGGAGGGUGGCCGAUAUGGUGGUUAGGAGGGUUCAGGUGGGUUUUUCGGCUGCAGGAGCUGCUUGCCGGAGGUCGGGGCGCACGCACGAGCAGGGCAGGGCUCAACUGGGCGGCUAGGGUUAGCUGGGAGGAGAUAGGGUAGACUAGGGUUAGGGUUUCCAUGGGUGAAACCCUAAAACCCUAUAUAUAGUAUUUGUCCUUUUUUUCGAAAAUCCCCUCACAGCAUAUAAUUUACAGUCCAGCCCCUGCAAGCUUGUGCAAUUUGCACGUACGCACCUCGACGUUCGAAAUCUCGCAAAAUGACACAUAAAAUGUUAGGGUUUUCGCGUUAUAUUCGUUUUGACGAUUUCGACCCCUCAGCGAACAUUUCGCUAUUCCUGGAGAUCCGUUCGUCUAAUUUCUGAUCGGAGUGCGCCAGCGCGAUCAGUACGACUGGGGCAUCGAAUCUAGCAUUUCGUUUCGUCCGAUUUUGUCACGCCCCGGAUAUCUCGUUCCCCGGGCACGCCGACAAAUCCGCCGUAUACAAAGAAAUUUUCCUUAUAUACGAAGCGUCAAAGUACCUGUAGAAAUACGAUACUACAAACAGUAGCAUAGAGCUGCUCAAAAAAACUAAAUAACUAAGUUUCAUAUACAUAGCUAGAAUCCAAAAUAUAAGGUUACUCGCACUGGCGAGUUAAACAACUAUGUACAUAAACUCCAAAACAACAACUACCUGCAGUAGUGGAAAGCCUCUAGCUCUGACUGUCGGGUAGGGCUCUAGCUCGCAACGCCCUUGCCUCGAUCCUGGUCGGCGGAAGAUGCAGCAGCCGGCACCUGUGGCUCUGCAAAACAGGAGUAACAACUGGGCGUGAGAACUACUGUAAAAACAGGUAGUCCUCAGUGGGUGCCGCCCGAAACAACAUCAGUCUACCCACUAAGUCUACAGAAGGGAGCAAAAAUAGUAGGAAAAGCAGGAAGUACACUCUACCGCUAUCAAUCACUACACUAUCAUGCUCUACACUAACCAACUGUAGGAAAUGUCAAAUCUAACCCAAUCCAAUCGGGACUGUAAGCAUACCCGUCCCCGGGACUGUGAAUACACCCGUCCCUGCCCCGUUGCGACUAUCGGGCUCUAUCCACACUAACUGGUCCGUGGAGAGCAAGUCCAACUGGCAUGAGCGACACCAACGCGAAAGCACAAAGCCUGACUCCGGAGUGGCACUCGUGGGCGCUACCCAACCGAGUAUGCAGCGUAUCUCUGUCGAGCUCAAUCAGGCUCUCAAUAGGCAAAGUCAAGUAACCGACUCAAACUGGUCUAACAACCAACAGGUAACGUGCCCUCGGCACAAUCUGACGCUAAAAAGGCGAUACGGGUCCACCGUCAACUCUGACGGCACCCACCAGUCCGGAACAACCUGACCGAUCCUGUAAAAAUCCACUCGGCGCAUCAGCACGAGCGUAAAUGUAAUCUAAACUACCUGGAGUACACAUCUCGAAGAUACUGCGACAGUACAAUUUAAUAACGGCUCCUAGAGCUAAAUCAGGCAGUUUAAACAAGUGACAGGUCCAAAUCGCAGGUUUUCUCCUAAUUCAAUUUCCAAGUCCAACAUGUAUAACCUACUUAAUUUAUUACCACAUGCUCCAAAUUCAGAUUUGCAAUCUACAAUAUAAUUCAUGAAUUCGAGCUAGAAUAGAGUAUCCAAAGGUCGAAAAUUAUACAUGCCGACGAAUAUGAACUUAGGAGUAAAAACCGAUGUAACCCACCU
rnacentral:lncRNA from 1 species